rnacentral:lncRNA from 1 species
CGCAAAAUGGUGGAUUGAAUAUGGAUUAAGUUAAAUCCGCAUCUGAUCCGCAGACGUAUGGAUUGAAUAUAAAUUGAGUCAAAUCCGUAUCCGAUCCACAUAUGUAUAGAUUGAAUUUGAAUUGAGUUUAAUCAAUCCGUGGAUUUGAUUGGAUUGAAAAAUUAUAAUCCGUAAAAUUGUGUAUCGAAUAUGAAUUGAUGUUUAAUCCGUAAAAUCCAAUCCGCGAACACCCCUAUCGAAAUUUACCAAAUUACCAUUGAAAUCAUAAUUUAUUGAAUCAUCCUCAAUAUCUUAAAUUACCAAAUUAUCCUCAGUUUGGAUAACAAAACUAAUCACAAAUUUUGAAUUUAUAAAAUUACCCUCGAAGUAUGAAAUUACCAAAAUACCCUUAAUAACAUAAAUUAAGGAAUUACCCUCGAAAUCUCAAAUUACCUCUCUGUCCUAAUCGGAAAUUACCAAAUUAUCCAUUAUUUUCAUAAAUUACAAAUUUACCCCAAAGUUUUAUGAAAUUGCCGAAUUGCCCCUGCCUGUCAACAUUGACCGGACUUCAGUCAACGACGACGGGAAGCGCAGGUCUGAUAGUUCAGACCUCGGUGAGUCCAACGGUGCCGGCGGUGACCUUCCACGCGCGGAGACGGCGGCAGAUCGAAGCUCCAAAAUUCGUGAGUUUCCCGGUGGUCGUUCGCGGCCAAGACGGCGUCCCCGGUGGUCGUGGUCGGUCGGAAAGUGAUGAGUGUGAGUUGUGGAACAAGAUCCAGGAGGUAGCGUGGCUAAAAAGCCGGCGGGAUCGACGGCGACAGAAACGGGUUUAGCCGCGGCUUUUUGAGCUUCAAACGGCGGCUUUUCGGUCGGCUUUCAACGGCAAGGACGGCGGAGAUUUGACCGGCAUCUCACAAGCUUCAGAUCGGUACCAAGCUCGGCCAGUGAGGUGGCCGGAAUCCGCGGCUGGAGCCGGGUCAAUUUCUCUCUCUCCUCUCUCGCGUGCCCUCUCUUUCCUCUUCUGGAAACCAGCUCCCCCCUUUCUAUUUAUAGAAACUAACUUUUUUUUUUUUAAGAUUACUACUACUAAUUAACCACUAGAGCUAGGCCCAAGUGGUUCGAGCACCCUCCGUCGUAUUGCAAAAAUUUAAUUUAAAUAUUUUUUUUUAGAAUCUCAGAGUUUGAGUGAAAGCAUGAGGGGAGUUGGACGUCCCUCGAAUAUUUGAGAGGGUUAAAAGAUUUAAAUAAUGCUUCUGAAUUAAUGUAAAUUGGUCUCAAUAAUUUAUAUGGUUGUAAAUAUCAUGAGCAAUAAUUCUCCUAAAAAAUAAUUACUACUAAUUAAGCUAAUACCAGACUUGUGUCGAAAUAAAAUCCAACUACAUGGUCAUUGAAUCGUGUUCGAAUUGUCUCGAUUUUAAGUCAUGACAAAUUUAAAAUUAAUAUCGAAGGAAAAAAAUUAAAUAAUAUAUUUAAUUAGGAAAAUUAAAGUGCAUAUGUUACAUCUCAUCACUAAAUUUUGAGGUUUAUGUGAAAAUAGCUUCUUGUUUUUUAUUUAUUUAAUUAUCUUGUUAUAUGUAAUUUAAUUAAAGAACAAAUUACUAAUUGAAAAAAAUUAUGAAAUGAUGGGUUUGGAGAGUAAAUUCAUGAGUCAAAUUGCCUUAUCCUAACAUUAGAGAUCAAUAACGACCAAGAGGUUCAUGUUAAGAAAAAGAUCUUAUUGACUAAAAUUUUAAACCUUUUUUCUAUUUAGAUUUAUUGAAAAAAUAUGAUUUUUUUCAAAGAACCUUUUUGAAAUGGGGACUUACACAAAUUGUGAGGUGAAAGCAUCUCCCUCCCUUCUUAAAUACAUUAUUACUUAUUGAAAAAGUAUGACAACCAAGGGUUAAAAAAUUGAUUUACCGAAACUAUACUUUUCUUUCGUUUUUUUUUUUUGUUUUUUUUUUUCAAAUUUGGCACCUCAAAAUGCCCCCCAAUUCUAGAAGGUGGAGGGGAACAAAAGUUUAUUGAGAUGAUAUAUUAUAUAUUUAUAAAUUUUGGAUAUAAAAUUUUUGUUACGUAUAUACUAAUUGUGAUUAACCUGAUUCAAGUAAGACAACCAAGGGUUGAAAAUUGAUUUGGUAUUUCCCCAUCGCUCUCUACUUUUAAAAUGAAAAGAAAAAGAUCCUACAUAUGAAUCAUUCCUAUAUUAGUCUAAAUGUGAUGACAUAAGCCUAUAGAUUUCUAUUCUUGUCUACGAAGUCGUCUAAAAUCACUAUUCUUAAAAUAAAUUGGAACUAUUCUUUAUAGGUGUUGCACGUUUCAUUAAAUGCAUUUCAUAGAAAGGGGAGCACCGCCACUAUGUUAAAGAGGUCCGGGCUAUGGUGCAAAUGUGGUACUGUGCUAUAAUUGCAUUCUAUUGUUGAAUCUACUUAGAUGGGUGGGGUUUGUUGGAAUUCAACGGUUGAAUACAACUGUAGUACGAUAUUAUUUUUGCACUACAGUUUUUUCUUGUUAAAGAAUAAGUUUGCAUGUGGGCUGCAAUAAAUUUAAAAUUCAUGUUGCAACACAUAUAGCUGGUAUUGCUGGGCACUAUUUUUUUUUUUUUUUUGGUUUUACUGUCUGCUAGCUCAAUGAGCAAAAGAACCAAAAUCCUUAUCUUAAGCAAUUGCUACUAAUGGAAAACAAAAUUAAUGUAAGCCUAGUAUUCUUAUUGAAACAUGAGAACAUCAUAUGUGCAUCGAGCAAGAACAAUCUAGCAAAAUAUUUAAUAGUAAUGUUAUAAAUUAAAAAAAAAAGAAAUCCAGAUAUAAAAUUUGCAUUUGAAUUGACAUAUGAUAAAAUUUCUCUUAUCGAGCAAGAACACUCUUUUAUGGAUUGAAUUUAUUUUCUUCUCAAAAAAAAAAAAAAAAAAAAAACUAUGAAAUAGUAAUCUGUACGAGGGCUGCAUUUUUGUCCCAUCCUAACUUAGUGAAUGCAUUACACAAUCUCUUAUUAGUUAAAGUCGUUGUUUUAUUUUAUUUUGAAUUCUCUCAUUUACCAAGAUUCUCCUCUCUUGAACACGCGAGUGAUGUGACUUUGCAGUUUUUCUUUGAAAUAGAAACUAUUAUAGAUUAUAUUAUAAAAAGCAGUCAAAUAUUACAAGUUAAAUAAGACAAAACAUCUUUCAUAGUUAGGCAUUAGUAAAUUUAAAACAAAAUUAUGUAACAUUUUUUUGUCAGGUUUGUUUAUUAACUGUGUGAAGUUUGAAAUUUUAUUAAUUUUAGAUUUUUUAUAAUUUUUUUUAAUAAUUUAAUAUUUAAUUUUUAGACGUUUAGAUCUCAAUAAAAAAUUAUAUUUUUAUAAGAAAUGAUCUGAAUAAGAAGUAAAUAUUAUAUUACAAUAAUAUCUCUAUAAAAUAUAUUUAUUUCUUAAAUGAUAUAACGUAAUUCAUUUUUUUAAAUUUUGAUUGAUAAGGAUAGUAAUAUCAAAUAACUAUGUUAUUUGUUUAUUUAUAAAAACAAACAAAAUGUUACUUAUAUUUAGAUAUUUAAAAAAAAAUAAACAUAUUAUUUAGAUAUUUGUAUUCAGCAGCCUUAUUUAGACUCAAAGAAAUUCAAAUUCGUUCAGAUUUCGAGUUAAAGCAUCCACCGGCUGACUACAAACUCUAAUAAAAAUAUCAAGAAAAAAAUUAACAUUGAUCGUUCAAUUUUAUUAAUAAAAUACGUACACAGUUGAAAAGUUUCAUCAUCAAAUGAAAAGAGAUCAGCUGAGAUAGGAAGUAAAUCUUUAUCCCAUUUCAGAAACCCAGCUGAUUCAUUAGUCGUCUCCGCUUAAGCAUUGAAGCUUCAGACGAAGUGGAUGACGACGAAGGCGGCUCCGUAGAUGCAAGCCUGUUUUUAGUCUUAACCCUAUUAACCUCAGUAUUAGAGGCAACCAGGUGAGGGAAAUUAAGCUUGGCUUUUUGGCCGUGAAGUCUGAAAGCCGCUCGGUCGUAAGCCAAUGCAGCAUCCUCAGGCGUCACAAAUGUCCCCAGCCAAACUCGUGCCCCCUUCUUGUUCUUACUGUCCCUUAUCUCGGCAGCAAACGUGCCCCACGGUCUCGUCCUCACACCUCGAAAACAUCUUCGCACGUGAUGUUGACUCUCAGGCGUCCGAGGUGUCGUGGCUACGGCUGCUAUGCCACUGGAGUUACAGUCGUCGCUCGAAGUAGCGCUUUCCGAAGGAAACGGAGUAGGAAAUAAGUCGAAGUCGAAACCGUCAUCCUCAAGAAGAUACUGGCGGAUUGACUCCAAGAUAGCAAAUUCUGACUCCGAGAUGUUUUCUGUGUACAUUUAAAAGAAUGAUUCUAGAAAGCUUUCUUUCUUUAGAUCUGCGAGAGCUUUGUGUUUGCCUAAUUUUGUACAUCCACCAACAGCCGCAUGUAAUUAGCUACUAUAUAUAUGGGAGCCUCUAUGUUACAUUGAAUGUACCAUACACAAUCAAUAAGAACCACAUAAAUUAUGGGACCCACAUAAUUAUGUGGUUCUUAUUGGUUGUGUAUGAUACAUUCAAUGUAACAUAACAAAAUUCCUAUAUAUAUACGUCUGCUGCUACAUCUGCAUGUGAGGGGUCUCAGCACUAGUGUCCAAAUGGGAUUAAUUAUUUGUCAAGUCCCAUACACGUAUCUAAGAAUAGAUGGGGAAGUUAAUUUAUUUUUUAUAUAGGAAUCUCAUUAUUAAUGGCUCGUGCAUUAAUGUAUAUAUGCUAUAUGUUAGUUUUGAGGCGGCUCGGGCAUUUUUAUUAAAACAUCUUUAGAAGGUUCUAUUAAAUUUACUCUUUAAAUAUCUAUUUGUUUACCUAUAGGAUAAAAAAGAGAGUAAAAAAUAAUAAUAAAAAAUUAUUUAAAUAGAAAUAAGUUAAUAUUAUUUUAAUCAAAUAAAUAUUUUUUAAAGAAAAAAUAAAUGUUAUUUAAAGCACUUCUCUCUCACUCUUAAUUUGAGUGUCUUUUAAAACUUAAACGUUGAUGUGACUCUUCAAAUAAAUAAUAAAAUCUUAUUUAAAAAAGUGUUUUGGAAAUGCGAUUAUUCUUAUUAUUUGAUAAGUAACAACUGAAUCAUAUAAAAAAAAUUUGAUUUUGAGUUGAUGUAAAUUAACAAAACAAAAAAAAAAAUUAUUGAAAGCCGAUUGCAAUCUAGCACUAGCAAACUUGUUGAAUAUAUUAUUUAUGUUAAAAAAAAAAAGAACAUAUUCCUUUUUAACGUUAGCCAUGGUUUUACUUUUCGCAGUUUUUUUUAUUUAAAAAAAAAAAAAAAAACUGGAUUGGCAUCUAAGAGAGGUCAACAUGUACCUUCCAUAGAGGACAACAUCAUGAUUAAAAAAUUUUAAAAUCUUUAUUUAUUUGUAAGUUGCGAUAAAUUAAUUGUAACCAUGAGAUGGUGGUUACAACACUACAAAAUAAACAUUGAGCUCUUUUGCAACAGAAAACAUUUACAUAUAUAUCCAACAAUAAUAAGUUUUGCAUCAAGUUUUUUAUACCCGUACGGAUGAAGAUAAUUUAAUUUUAUUAGGUCCUUUAAAAAGUCGGGUCUUAAUUAACCUUAAUUCAACCCGCUCUAGAGGAGGAUGUAAGAUAAUUAAUUAAGUUACUACUACUUUUACAAUCAAAUUAAACUUGAACCUGACUUGCUAAAAUCAGAGACAUUAAUCUCACGCUUCUCAGGUGUCGUGACUAAGGCCAUUUCAUUGGAGUUAAAGAGUCACAAGGUGGAUUGACUCCAAGAUAUAGAGGAUGCAAAUGCUGACUUUGAUAUGAGAUGUGUUAUGGGUUCAAUUUUGACUUUUUAAGGAAGGUUUAAGAAAGCUUUGUUAGAUCUGCGAGGGCUUGGUGUUGAAUCUGUUGCCUAAUUUAUACAUUUAGCCAUUGCUGGAUGCACUUAUCUAGUGCAGAUAAAUCUGUUCGCUGCCCAAUGCGGGGGCUCACAAGGCUAGUGUCCAAAUGGGUUAUUUAAAUUUAUUUGUUAAAUCCCAUACACGCAUCUAAUCACGGCUGAGUGUUCAUAAAAUUAAGAGGACCGCUAGCGACUGUCCCACUCGUUAGUUUCUCUGGUUGGCAAGCGGCCUAUAUAUAUUUUUUGAUUUAUGUGCGAGUUCAAAUUAAUAAUAAACGUUGAUAGCUUUUAAUUUUAUUUUAAUAUUAUUAUCCUUUAUAUAGACGGAAUUCACUACAAAAUCUAUACUUAAAAAUCACUUGCAUUAAACUUUCAAUCGUUUUUUUAAUUAAAAAACUUAAUCUUUGAAUCAUUAAUUUACAUCUAAGAUUAGGAUUCUGCACAACCAUUGAUGAGUAAAAACUCAACUCUUACAAGAGACAAUUAACAUAUAUGCCCAUUCCCUCUCGCCAAUAAGAUUUCGAAUGCUUAUCCCCUCUUCAAAUGAGAGAUACAUCCUUAGUGCAAUGCAAGCUCAAAAUAGAUUCGUCAACUUUCAAUUUAAUUAUUCUUUUAUUCUAUGAAAAAAUGUUUUAUUUUAGAAAAUAAACAACAAAAUGUACUCAAUGUUCAUGACUCCUUCCCUCCACUUGCGUGACUUCGAAUUUGAUAUGGUAUUUUAUUUUAUUUUUAUUUUUAAUUCGUGCAGUAACGUACCUGUCCUCACAUGUGGAUAACGAUUAAUGUCCUAUGCUUUAAGUUCAGAGGCGGCGGGGAACCCAUUCAAUUUCAUAUAAAAAAUGAAUAGAAAACAAAAGGGGAAAAAAAAAGCAUAUUACAAUUUAGUACUAACAAACUUGUUUAAUUUAUUAUUUGUGUAGAAAAAACGAACAUGUUCCCUUUUACCGUUAUUGUCUUAGUGAUGUUAUUAAUUAUUGUUUCUAAUUCAAACGACUCUCAUUGCAUCACAACAACAUCAGUGACAAAAUUUGAUCAAAAUCUUAAUAUAUAUAUAUUUUAUAAGCUAUAGUUUAUUAAUUGUUACUAUGUUUCUGAUGGUUACAGUAUGCUCUUUUGCACCAGAAAAUACUACCUUAUCCAAUAUCCAAUAUUGAGUUUUGUACCUGCAGUUUGUUAAAUUGGCUGCAAUUAGUUUAAACUUUAGGAGUAUUUUGGCAAGUCAGACUUAAUUAUCCUUAAUCCAACCCACCAGAGGAAGUUGUCAGAUAAAAAGGUUUUAUGGUUAUUUUUAUAAUUAAUACUGUAUAUUUGAUCAAUUUAGUUAUUAAAAGAGUUGUAUAUUUCUAAAGUACGAAAAUGUAUGUGAAUUAAAUGUACAUAAUGUUAGAAUAAAAAUUAUUUUCACAAAUGUGCACCAUGUAUUUAUUUUUUUCAGUGUAUUAAAUCAUCUCGACUAAUGUAGAUUUGAGCCGGGUAGGACCACUAAGACGGCGGUAAAGUUCUCCCAAUAAUUAUUUAAUGCAGCUGCAUUCUUAAGUCUCGAACCGAGAACCUUAGUUAAGAUAAAACAGCCACAUGCCAGCUGAUUUACAUGCUUGUUAGUCACCAUAUACUUAUAAUAUUUAUAAAUAUAGUGUUUAAACAUAUACUUUAUUUCUCAAUAUUUUGAUCCAUUGAGGAUAAGUGGAGAACAUUUUACCUAUCUCUACCCAUAUCUGCUCCUUCCUUCUUAGUGCAAGGGUUGCGUGUAUAGUUAAUGAAAAAAAUAAGAUAAAAAUAAAACUUGACCGUUCAUUAUUUAAAAAAGAGUAGUGCUAGAGAGAGAGAAGCACGAGAGAAAGACGAGAGAAUUUUUCCCUCUCUCUCUCUACCCCUUUCUUCAUUGUUUCUCUCGUGUUUCUUUACAUCAAGCAUUUUCCUUUAAAAAAUGUAUAUGCUAAAAAAAUCCUUCUUCUAGCAUAUCUUGAUUUCUUUUUCAAUUUUUUAAAUGAAAAGGGUCCUUAAGUAACCUCAAUAUUGCUAAGAGAUGCCUCUUCAAUAAGCGAAAUUCUACAAUAUAUCUUAAUAUCAUAUCAGUCAUAUAAUAAGUAAAUAAUGUUAUGACAUGUGUGUAUUUAUUUUGAAAGAUUAUCAUACAAGCGUACGCAUGUCAUGCAUACACAAUUAAUUGUAUUACUUCUAAUGUGUUGUACAAUUUCUCUUGCAAUAAACGUAGGAUAUAAAACUUUCUUGACAUGUGCGGACAUGUACAUCAAUGCAUGAGUUAUAAUUAAUGAAGAUUCAUAAUCAAUUAAUUACCUAACUCAGCUAUAAUUAGGUAAAUGAAUUGUAUUAACAAACGGAUAUUCAUCAAAUUUAAAUCUCUCUUCACUAAAAUUCAUAAAGGUGAUUGGUGAUUAAUUAAUAAUAUUAAAAUAAUUAAAUUUUAAUUAGAAAUUUUUAUUAAAAGACAUAAGCAAUGCACCAGGGCUUUUACCAAUUAGCUUUCUAGUGUUUUAGCUAGCCGGCUACCCAAAAUUUAAAUCUAGAGGAUUUAUGCGACUAAAGAAUUGAUUUAAACUUGUCCUCCAUCUUAACUUUUUUAAAAAAAAAAAAAAAAAAAAAAAAAAGACAUAACACAGAGCUUAAGAUCAUGAUCCUGAUUCUUAAAAAAUAACAUAUUUGGAUGCUAGCAUUGUGACCUCCCUCACAAGGCUGGCUUUAGAGUAUAUGGGGCCUUAGGCAAAAAUUUUUUUGGGGCCUUUUUUUUUUUUUUGUAAUUUUAAUACUCAAAAAAAUAUAAAAGACUAAAAAAUUCAUUCAACUCUUAACUCUUGAAUUUUAAUAGUAAUAAAAGAGAUCUUAAAAAUUUUCAAAAACCAAGCCUAAAAAAAUAAGCAAGAAGAUAUCUUUUAUACUUCCAUUAAAAUUAUUACAAAAAUAAAUAAAAAAAUAUUAUUUUCAAAUAGAAUAUUUAGAAUAGCAGAAAGUUGAGAUGAUGAAUUGAUUAUCAAAUAAUAGAUAUGCACUUUAUAUUUUAUGAAGCUAAUAUUUUCUUUUUUAAAUGAAUCAAUGAAUGUAAUAAUUCUCUUUGAAAAAAAAGAGCAAGAAAUCUAUUUAUCUAUUGAUUUUUUAUAUUACAAGGUUUUAAUGGAAAUUAAAAGGAAUAUUAAAAGUCAAAGAAUUUAAUUUUUUUACAAAACUUAAAAGGUAAAAAAUUUAUUUAUUUUUUUUUGGAAAAACUAAUAAUGAAUGAAUUAAUGGCUAAACAAUUUUAUUAAUUAUAUCUCUUGAACAUUAAGGUUACCAAAUAUUGAUUUUCUAUAAAAAACAAUUCUUAGUUGUGGUAUAACUGUUAAUUAUAAAGAUGUUUAAUAGGCUUUUCUACAAUACAUAAUUUUUUUUUAAAAAUGAUCUUUAUUAAUUAUAGAACUAUUAAGAAAUACUAAAAAAAAAUGAGGCAUUCAAAAAAUAUAAGGCCUUAGGCAAUCAUCUUAUUCGCCUAUACUUAAAGUCACCCAUGCUCCCUCAUGCACUAUAUAUGUAUAUAUAUAUAUAACCUACACAACCAUCGAGCUUAAGAUUAUUUAAGGUUUUUGCGUGAAUGAGAUUCUGAGCUUAUUCUUGAUAUAAUCUUGAGAUUUCUUUGUGAGUUUUGAGCGCUUUUAUUGUAAAUCUAUUUUUUGCUGUGAGAAUUGUUGCUGCUCUUAAUUUUGUAAUCACUUGAGCUGAAUAAUUGUCAUCCGCGAGCCCCAAUUGGUGUUAUUGUUGGUUCAGUUAGCAUCCAUGAGCCAAUUGAGGAUUUUGUAUAGAUUUAAUUAGCAACUGGAAAGCAGAUCGUUUUUGUUUCAGAUUAAGGCCAUUGAUAAUAGGAAUUUUCCAGCAGGAUUGCUUGAAGUGUGCAAAAUUGUCGAAUCACAUAAAAAUUACAUAUGCCAAUACUUCUCUCUUAUCCCUUUUUCUUUGAUAAGAUUCAACACAAGGACUUGGAAUAAGAGAAACAAAUCUGCUGGAAAUCAGUUUGACAUUUAUCUCGCAAUAUGCACAUCCUUGGACAAAGGCUUAAUUGGACAAGACUUGUCUACAACUGCUAAGAGUAUUUUUAGCCUAGAUUCUCUCUUCUCAAUCAUAUCUUAUAUUUAAUAGAAAAUUCACCUAUUGUUUAGGUUAAGUAGAAUAGGAUGUGAUUCCUAGAUUGACUCCUCUUUAAGUAUAAAUUUAUCAUGGUAAUGUGAAAAAAAUAAAGCAGGCAAAUAUACUUUCUUUCACUAUUAAGUUUGCAUCAAAUAUUUCAUUAUUCAUUACAUUUGAUCAGCAUCUUCAAUAUUUACUUAUUUACUUAUUGCUUCUUCUCUUGGCAUUAUUUACUAUUCAUAUUUUAUUGAUUAUUCAUUUCUUAAAACUGAGUUUAAUUAAGUACAUGUGUUAUUUUGGGGUAACUGAAAGGGAUUUGAGUCAUUUAUUAAGUUUAUAGUUUGAAAUUUGACUAGACUUAAAUUUAUUUAACUUUUUUUAGAAGAGAUUCAAAUUUAUUAAACGAAACAAAAGAGGAGAGUUUAUUUGAACUUAAAUUUUUUACACAAAUUUUAAGCUAUUGAUCUCAUCAUGUAAUCUAAUGGUACCAUGGUAGAUGAAUUGAUAUUAUUAAGUACUACUUUAAUUUUUAAUAUCUGCCAUUGGAUUACAUGAGAUCCAUGGCUCAAAAUUUGUAUUAAAUUUGAAGUAAAAAAUUUAAGUUAAAAUACCCCUUCUUUUAAAUAUGCAUAACCUAAUUCGCGUUGCCAUCUUGGGUUGCCACAUUCUGAUUUCAAUCUUCAACAUUCAUUACAGACAAAAUACACAUGUCAGAAAGAGAUAAUUAAGAUUUUAAUAGAGGAUUACUGUUACAAAUUAAUCAGCAUUUGGAGAUUCAGUCAGCCAGCACUGCAUACAUGACAGAGAUGAAGAAUAAAACGAAGAAGAAGACGAAGGACAAGAAGAGGAAGAAGGCUCCGGAGGUGCAGGCUUAUUAAUUCUUAACUCUAAUAACCUCAGUAUUACUAGAUUUAGAGUCAAUGAGAUGAGGAAAAUUAAGCUUAGCUUUUUGGCCGUGAAUCUUGAAAGCUGCACGAUCGUAAGCCAAUGCAGCAUCCUCAGGUGUAUCAUAAGUCCCCAGCCAAACUCUUGCCCCAGUGUUCUUCUUGCCAUCCCUAAUCUCCGCUGCAAACUUUCCCCAGGGCCUCUUCCUCACGCCUCGGAAACUUUUUUGAGGACGCCGCAGCUGCAUGUUAAAGCAGGCCACGUCACUCGAAGCAGUCACAUUAUUGUUAUUGCCGCUACUUGUUUCCGAAGGAAGCAAAAUGGGAAUGUCGUCGAACUCGUCGUCGUCGAGAAGAUACCUACGGAUUGAGUCCAAGAUAGCAAAUUCUGAAUCUGAGAUAUUUUGUGCGUUCAUUUUUCCUUUUUACAUUAAAAGUUAAGAUUCUAGGAAGCUGGGUUUCUUGAGCAUGCGAGUGUUUUAUGUUAGACUGCCUAUAAUUUAUACACCUACAUGUACCGUGACUUGGCAAGGAAAACUUACGUGGGCAGGCGAGGGCACCACCUAACUCCGUUGAAGUAUUAUGGUUAAUUAUUGAAAAGAUAUUAUUAUAUAAUUUUGCACUAGUACUACAUAAAAUUAUUUAAUAUUAACCACUACGGUCUAAUCCAAUCAAUGUGGAUUGCAAACAUCAUUCUAUUCUCCUUGUAUUAUUGAUGUUGAACCUCCAGAAAAAGGUUGUUAAUUAUUUAUAAAAGUUACGUAUGUAUUAUUAAUUAAGACAGGAGUACGUUCAUUAGAAAAUGACAAUCUUGAAUUAAUUGAGGUCAAGGGGCAUUUGAUGACUUAGGUUAAGUCCAAAGGCGGCUCCUCCCCCAGCCAAUUUUGGCGGUGGCAGGGAGCCACGGCCUAUAAAAAGACGAAAUAAAAUAUCAUUUCAAUUAUUGCAAUUUAAUUGUUAAGUGUACGUCCAAUACUCCUGUUGCUUUAUUCAAAGUUGAAUUACCUUAUCCUUUCACCUUGAGCACGACUUUGAUUAUUUGGACACGAGGCAACUGAAAUAUAUAUAUAUAUAUAUAUAUAUAUCCAAAAUAAAAUUUGGGAUCGAUUUACGGUAUCGUAAAUUAGUUUACAACAUUACAAAACUCUAUUUACGAUGUUGUAAAUCCAUCCCAAAUUUUAAUCUCGGAUCGAAAAAUUUUCCUAUAGAUAUGAUAAUGAAUCUCUUAACUUAUUAAAAUAAAAGAUAAAUUAGUAGAUGAGAAAAAUAAACACUAUAAUGCGGUAUAUUUUGUCCUAUAAUAUAUGUAUUACAAUGUAUUUUUCUUAUCUCUUAGACAAUCCCUCACUUUUAUAAAGUACGGAAUCAUUUAUAUAUAUAUAUAUAUAUAUAUAUAUAUAUAUAUAUAUAUUCUUUAUUUUUGAAUGAACUAUAAAGUCAUGGAAUUUAAUAGUAUUAAAAACUAACUCUAUUACAUUGCAAAGAUUUAUAAUUCAUUUAAAAAAUCUGUUAAAUUCAAUGGCUUAAGAGCGUGUUUGCAUUAAAAAAAUGAGAGCGUAUAAAUAUGUAUAUGUGUGUGUGUGUGUGUGUGUGUGUAAUAAUAAUAAUAAUAAUCUGCGUAUAAAGUGUGGGACGAGUUAACAACAGCGUGAAAAGGUUUUGGAAAAACGCCAUCUAUACCUCCCAAUGUUUGGAGAAAUGAUUAUGUAGAGUCCUAAGUUUUCAAUAAGGUACUAAGACCCUUUUUUUACUAUAUUAUCCUUUGGUUAUUAACUAAAAAAAAUUACUUUAAUGUUCGAUAAUAAAUAGAAAUAUAAUAUUAAAAUAAAUGUAACAAUAUAUACAUUUUCAAAUAAUUUCAAUGUUUAAACAAAUGUUUUAAUACUUUGCAGUCUUAUAUUAUAUUAAACUAAAUGUUAUAAUAAUUAGAACAUAAUAUUAAAAUAAGUAUCUAAAAUUUAAAUUAUUUUCAAUAUUAUAUAAAAUAAUUUUAAUAUUAUUAAUACAUGAUAUAUAUUUCAUUAAUUGUAAAAUCUGUUUAACCCAAAGAUUUAUUUAAAUUUUUUAAUAAAUACAAAUAUAUUAUUAAAAUAAAUAUAAUAAUUUACAUUUUAAAAAUUAUUUUUAUAUUAAAAAUAUUCUAAUAUUAUUAAUCCAUUAGACAAUUUAAAUUAUUUUUGUAUUUAUUAAAAAAAUUUUAAAGUCAAUUUUUUAGUUACUAUCUACAAAGGGUAUUAUAAUCAAAAGGGAGUUUUGAUAUCUCUUAUUGAAAAUUUAAAGUUCUACAUGACUAUUUCUCCAAGCCUUAGAGGUGCAUGUGUCAUUUUCCCAAAGACUUUUACAAUGUUAUCAAAUAGUAGAUAGUGCUGUAAAUUCACACCGUUGUCAAUUCAUUUUGGAUUUUAACAACAUUUAAGAUCUCGAACCAGAGAACAACUAUAUAUCAUGAGGCAACAAAACAAUUUCCUUCAUUCAUAAAGACUUUAACUGCAUGAUUCCAUUUUGCUAAUGUGUUAUUACGAAGCUGUGGCUUAAAAAGCCACGGUCAUAGUUUUGAAGUUAAAAUGAUUCUAUCUUACAAUUAUUUUGAUAAAAAAUUUUGAAAUAAUUUUAUUAUUUUUUAGAUUGUUAUUUAAAAAUCUAUAAUAAUUUUAUAACUAAAAUUUUUGUUUCACAACGCUUAUUCGACUCUUUUGAAAGAGUCCACCUUGAACUUCUAGGACAAAAUAUUGAUGUAAAAUACUUUACCAACUCUCCAAAAGUUUUUUUAUUUUUCAAACUUCUCCAAUCUGCAAUCUUCAAAUUCAAUACUUAAGAUAAAUUUUAACUCGCCUAUGCACACUCCUGGAACCUCAUGUUCAAUAGAGAAAAUAGGAUUUAAGCUUCACGAGGACCAUAAUGUAGAAAAGAUAAUUAAUUAUCUUUUGCACUUUUUAAUAACAGAUUAUAACGUAAAGUUAGUAAAAUUGAGAAGGCCAAUGAUGAAGCAUAAUAGAGGAAAUAUAAAACUAAUAUAGGUUAUAACAUAAAACACGUAGAAAUUGGGGGAGGCGGGAGGCGGGAGGAGGGUGGGGGACAAAUGUAAAAUGUGCACAGAAUAUGAUAAAAUUUUAAUUGAGUCCCUUAUUUUUCUCUAUUUUUCAUGGGCCCCCUAAGCCUCUCCAUAUAGAUCCACGUACCACCAUAUGCACUUGACUUUGUGAUGCUCUAAUGUUAUCUAGGGAACAACCUUUGAUGUAAUCCCAUCAUAAAAAAAUUUUCUAAUCCAGAAUUAAAAUUUGAGAUGAGUUUAUAAUAUUAUAAACCGUCUUUUAUAAUGAUAUAAAAUAAUUAAAAAAUUAGUCUACAACGUUAUAAAUUCUUCUAAGACUUUAAUUAUAAAUUUUAAUUUCAGACUUAAAGUUAAUUCAUCCCAUCAUUUAUUUAAUAACAGUUGACAUCAGCUACAAUCUCAUAAUUUUUUUUUUUUUUUGUAAGUUUACAUCAUAAAAGAUGAAUUGGACUUUUAUUUGUUGUUGUUGUUUUUUAAAGAAACUUCUAUUGUUUGUGGUUUAUUACCUACCGUACAUAGUAGUUAUGAUUUGUUUCUAUUUAUUUAAUUGCAAUCUAUAAUCCCAUUUUGAUAAAACAGAAUGCGAAAAGUGACCUAAGCUGUACAUGCCGUUUUGUGCUCCUUCCCAUUAUAUAGCUCUUUCGAGCAAAGAAUGAUGAUUAAAAUGACAUUAUACUAACAAAUUAACAUCUAAAAUUAUCACAUUAUACCAAUUAAAACACAAAUAAGCCAUAUAUAUAUAUAAUAUAUAGAAGAGAAAUGGAAAAUCAUACCAAAAGCACGCUAGUGGGCCAGAACAUUAGCUGCAAUGUUGAAGCCCCCAUAAAUGCAAUCAUUUAUUAAUAUAUUAUCCCUUCUCUUGGACUUGAAGAAUCGAGCCCAUUCGGAAGAAUUGGGCUAUGGGAGCCUCAACAAUGACCAAGCAGGUGGCAGCUGCACUCCAUCCGAACGAAGUUUAAGUGCCGGUCCUUUUUGUUUUUUUUAAUUAAAAUUAGUUUUCUCAAAUCUCACCGAUUGCAAUAAAUGUUAGGCAUGUGAGUCGUGACAAAUGAUAUGAAAUUAGUCUUGAGGAAUUAGCAUCUAAAACCAUAAGACACAACCAAUUGAAAGACAAAAUUAAUUAAAAUUAUUUCUUAAUUGCAAAGGCAAAAGCAAAUAUGGUAAUCAUACAAAUCCAACACUAGUUUCAAGAUCUAAUCCAAUUAUAUUUGUCCAAAUCCAAAUUCAAAGUCUAAUCCAUAAAAGAUUCAAGAAUUGUUUAGAGAAUUAGAGAUAUUUCUACUCUAAAAAUAUCUAAUGGUAGUAAAAAUGCCUAAUUCUAAAUAUUUCUUAAAUAUUUGGAGAUAUUUGUAAAAUGCAGUUGUCAUAUUUUUGCAAUCUAAUAUCUGUAUAGUUUGUACUUCUAAUAGGUUAUUAUAAAUACAUCUAAACUCUUUGUUGUAGGCAUCAUGAGAGUAAUAAAGAAUAAGAGAGAAAUAAGAAGUGCGAGUCGUGAGCGCUGUAGGUCUCUCUUGUAAAAUAUUAAUAAAAUCCUUCAGUUUAGUAAAAUUCUUUUGUUGCCCAAAUAGUUUCAGUCUUGAAUAGUUUAGUCAUUUUCAGUUUUCUACAAUUGGUAUUAGAGCAUGAUUGGUCGGCGACCAUUGUAGCAGUGCUGCCGAAAGUUCACAACAGUCAAAGAUUGUCAUGCAGAAGCUUUAAAAGUAUAGCAUGGAUGAUCGAAGAUCAUUUGGUGGAGUUUCGUUGAAUCGUGAGGGGUUUGAAACCCUACGAGUUUGUUGGUAAAGAUUGAGUUUGCUUGGCAUUGUUAAAGUCUUGCAUAUAUGAUGGGUGAUCGUUAAGUAGUUAGAGGAGUCAAGAAGCUCAACAACAAAAAUUUCAAUACAUGGGCAACAUUAAUAGAGUCCUACUUACAAGGCCAAUACCUCUGGGAGAUUGUUUGCGGUAACAAUGUGGAAGCACUAACUGAGGAUGCCACUUUAAAAACGUGGAACAUUAAAGCUGGGAAGGCCAUGUUUGCCAUCAAUAGUACAAUUGAAGAAGAGAUAUUGCAACACACAGAAAAGGCUAAUAUACCUAAUUAAGCUUGACACCCUUUUACUAUGAUUUUUUCAAAGAAGAAUAACACACGGCUACAACUUUUGGAGAUUAAACUACUGUUAAUUUUAUAACAAAACAUGACAAUUGAUAAGUACUUUAAUAAGGUAAAGUACUUAUGCACACGAAAUUUCUAAAUUGAUCCUACUCCUACAAUUUCUGAAUCUAGAAUAAAGAAAAUUAUUGUCCAUAGUUUAAGGCCUUAGUUUAGGAGUUUUGUUACAGUUGUCCAAGGGUGGCCAACUCAACUAACUAUUAAGGAAUUUGAAAACUUGCUUGCCAAUCAAGAAGCGAUCGACAAGCAAACGAGUGAGACCUCAGUAAAGAAUAACAAGGAAGUGCUCUUCACCGACAAAAAUAAACAUAAAUUUGGACGAUGUAGUAGUGGAGGAUCUAAAGAAGAUGUCAAUAAGUCAAGAGGUUAGGUUAUCAACAAUAAGGUAGCUUAUAGAUAGGUGGAGUACAAAGGAAUCAUGGUAAUAGUGGCCAAUACAAGCUAAAAAAAGUUCGAAGGGAAUUGCUACAACUCCGAAGAGAGCCAUAUAGCAAAAGAUUAAUGGUCUAAGAAAAAGUCUAAGUAGAGUAAUGCCACCACUUUUAAUCAUAAAAAGAAUAGUGACAAAGGAAUGGAAAACUAAAGCAUCAAUCGCCAUUAAAGAAGAGGAGCUAGCCCCUCACAAUCACAUUACCUAGCCAAAUUAAACUACGAGAAUGAUUGGAUCGUUGACUUAGGGUGUUCAAAUCACAUGAUUGAUGAUAGAAAAAAGCUACAAGACAUGACUAAGUACAAAGGAGACCAUGUGGUAGUAACAGUAAAUAACUCGCGACUGCCAAUAACUUACGUUGGCACUAAAGUUACUUAUAUCUCGAUAUGGUUUACGCAAAGUGUCACUUUCAAGAUGUGUAUUAUGUCCUAGGUAUGAAGAAAAAUAUAUUCUCAGUAUCACAUCUAACAUCACCAAGCAACUAUGUCUUGCUCAGUUCUCAAGAUGUCAAGGCGUAUUAAUAUUUAAAGAUCUCAAGGACACGUAUUAUGGAAAGACGAAGAUUAGAGUUAGUCUAUUUAUCAUCAGCAUAGUCUAUAUAAGUAGACAAGAUAGUAGAAUUAUGGCGUGCUCAGUUGAGAUAUGUUAUCUAAUCACAAAUUGAAAGUGAUGAUGAACAAGUUAAUGCUCAGAGGUUUGCCUCAACUUGACGUAAGAAUAGACACAAUAGAUGCAAAAUGUCAAUAUGUUAAGGUUCACCAACUCCCAUAUGAGGACUCAAAGUUAAAAGCAAAAGAACUAUUAGAGUUUGUACACUCUGACGUGUUUGGGCUUAUCAACCAACCUUCUAUGAGUGUCAUGGGACACAUGGUCACAUUUAUCAAUGACUUCUCUAGGUAUGUCUAAGUCUUUUUUAUAAAAGAAAAAUCUGACACUUUUUUAAAGUUUAGGAAAUUCAGAGACAUAAUUGAAGGAGAAAUAGGAAAAAAGAUUUGUCAUUUAUGAACAGACAAUGGAGGAAAGUAUAUAUCAAAUGAGUACUCCCAAUAUCUUUGAGACUAUAAGAAAUGCUAUCAGUUCACUUGUGUUAAUAUACCACAACAGAACGGCGUAGCAGAAUGAAAGAACCGAUAUUUAGUAGAGAUUUCUCAGAGUAUAAUACAUGUGAAGAAUGUACUAGAAAGGUUUUGGGUCGAAGCUUUGAAGACGACAGCUCUUGUAAUUAAUAGACUCCCUUAAUCAAAAUUAGAGUUUAUAUCACCUUACGAUAAGCUAUAAAAUGUAAAACUUAUGCUCAAGCCCUUUUGCAUAUUCGGCUGUGUGUGCUAUGUCUUCAUGUCAAGGCAUUUACGAAGCAAAUUUAACAAGAAAGCGGUUCAUUAUAUCUUUAUUAGGUAUGACAAUUAAAGAAAAAGAUGGAAGUGUUAUGAUCCUACAUAACACAAACGUGGUGUUUGAUGAAGUACCUUUAUGGUGGUCUUUAAAAAAAAAAAGAGGUACCAAAUUCAAAACAAAUUGAAGAUCAAAUGAAAGAACGAAUUACUUAAACUUACCCAAGCCAAGAAGAAUAUGAAGAUUCUAAUGAUCCAAAAUUCUGAUGAUCCAAAGGAUGACAAUAUCGAGCAUAAGAGGACGCAAAGUCUUUGGAAGAUAGUUCUUCACCAAAGCCCUAUUAAAGAAAAGAACAAAGUGAACUAGAAUCAUGAACUCUUAAAUCUCAACUUAAAAGAUCCGAAAGAAUUAAAAAGCCAAAUCUCAGGUAACUAAUGCAGUAGUUGCAGAAGAAGAAAGAAUAAAAGAACAUGAGACAUUUAAAGAAGUAGUAGAGAAUUCUUAUUGGAUGAAGGCAAUAGAGGAUGAAAUCACUGCACUUAAGCAGAAUCAGACUUUGGAUCUGGUUUUGAAAUCAAAGGAUGCAAAACCAAUAUCUUGUAAAUGGGUGUACAAGAUUAUGAAGUGCCUAGAUGGUUCAGUUGAAAGGUAAAAAACUUACAUGCUAGACUAUAACAAAAUGUUUAGUCUGGUAGCGAAGUUCACAAUAGUAAGAGUUCCACUUGCACUCGUAGCUAGUAAAGAAUGAAAAUUAUGGUAGAUGGAUUAAAAAAAAGUCUUCUUAUACAAAGAAUUGGAUCGAGAGAUCUUGCUUUUUUUACUAGUAAAUCUGAAUUUGCAUGGAGAAUUGCAAAAUGGAUGAGAUUGAUUUUUUUUAGUCAUGAAAACGAUCUACCAAAAAAAAAAAGAUAUAACAACGCUAAGAAUUAUGGUAGGGCAGUUUAUGAAUGCCUACAUGGUGGACUUGACUUUACUAAAGAUGAUGAGAACGUGAUUUGGAUCGAGAGAUCUACAUGAAUCAACUAAGAGGAUUUGAGAAUAAAAUUGAUCCGGAGUAUGUAUUGGCACAUGCAGAUUCUAAGGAAAGUUAGCAAUUGUACUGUUGUAUGUGGAUGAUUUGAUUCUUAAUAGUAACGUUGAAGAAAAGAUUCGUUGAAUAAGAAAGAACUUAUCAACUCGGUUUUAGAUGAAAGACCCUAGUCAGCUUAAGGAUCGAACAAAAGAUGAUAUAUUUCUUUACCAACAAAAAUAUGCCAAAGACUUGCUAAAGAAGUUUAGAAUGUUGGAAUGCAAGCCAAUCUCAACUCCAAUCGAAGUCAAUGCACAAUUGUGCACAAAUAAAGGUAAAGAUUUACAAGAUGAAAUAAUGUAUCAACAACUGAUAGGGAGUUUAAUCCAUCUAACAUUGACUUGACCACACAUUUUAUAUGCAGUGGAUGUAAUGAGUUGGUACAUGCAAAAUCUAAAGAAAUCUCACUUGUAAAUGGUUCGAUGAAUACUAAGAUAUGUGAAAAAGACAAUCGACUUCGGUCUGUUAUACAAGAAAGGUGAAAGCUUCAAGCUGACUGGCUAUUGUGAUUCUGACUACACUGGAGAUCAUGAUACAAAAAGAUCAACUACUGAAUACAUUUUUAGAAUUGGGUUGGAGAAGUUUUUUAGUGUAGUAAGAGACAAUCAACUCUGUCACUAUCAAUCAUGGAAGCAGAGUAUAGUGAUAUGGUACUGUCGGAAAAAUAUCAAUUUAACAAACAGCAGGGUCAUGAUCAUGAACUCGAUGACCAACUUGGAUUACAUGCAUCUGAUCGUUCUGAUAACGUAGUAAGAAUUCACAAGUAUUAGAAUCAAGUAGGUGAGGAAAAUUAAGUACGGCUCUAACAACGUGCAUUUUGUAAGAUGCUCGAUCAUAAGGCAACGUAGCACCCUCAGGUGCAUCAUAUGUCCCUAGACAAAGUCGUGCCCCGUUUUUAGGAUCCCUGAUCUCGGCUGCAAAGCGUCCCUUGGCCUUCUCCUCACACCUCGAAAAUGUUUCUCCUCGUGGCUCUCACGCGUCUGAGGGAAAUUAAGCUCGGCAUUUUGGCCGUGAAUUUGGAAAGGUGCUGGACCAUAAGCCGAUCCAGCAUCCUCAGGCAUAUCAAAGGUCCCCAACCAAACUUGUGCAGUAUUCUUAUUAGGAUUCUUUAUCUCCCCUGUCCACUUUCCCCACGGCCUCGGCCUCACACCUCGGUACUUACUCCGCACCGCCUUCUGACGUAUCGUAUCUGGGGUUGUUGGUUCACUUUCGUAAUCAGGUUGAUCAAAUAAAUCAUCAAGAGGAUUUGAGGAGCUUAUCAGUUCGAGACAUGAAUUGACAGUUUCAGUACUUGAAGAGUUGCCCGCAGAAGCUGCCAUUGAUUGGUCAAGAAUUUGUUGCUGUAUGUUUGAGUUCGAGUUUAAUGACUUGAAUUGAAGAGAGAAAUGGAGUUUCAAGUUAUGGUGAUUGAAUCGACUGAAUCAUUUGGAAAUUACUGGUGGUAUAAAAUAAUGAACAAAACAAGCAAUACGUAUGGCAUCACAUGGAACAUUUGAAAAUUUACCAUAAAUUUUCGAGAAAUUGAAUAAAAGCAACUCAAUGCGAUGUUAAUAAUCAGUCAAAAAAGACUAAAGCUUCCGCUUGGUGUAGCAGAAAUUGAAGACUUUUGAGAAAGGAAGAUGACUCCUCUCUUUUUCUCCCCACUCCACCCUAGAAGCCAAUUUAUCAGUUCACAGGUACAUACAAAACUAACAAGGUCGCCAUAAUUUUCUUCUCUCAGAAGGACCAAAAAUGGCAUCUUACAACCCAUGGACAUGACCUUUCUUACAACUCGUCAUUGAGCUCUUCCAGCCCUGAAUCCCAGACUCAGCUAUUAUUUCUUAUUUCGUGUUCUUGCCUCUUCAUUGUUUCACUUCUGUUUUCUCUUCCUCUUGAACACCUUAAUGGAAAUCUUGUUCCAGCUUUGAUAAUUUUUAAGGCACACCCAUUUCUGUUUCAGGCCCGUGUGAUUGCAGUCAUGUUAUCUUUUGGGGGAGCAUCUGGCGCGUUCUUGAUUGGAAACAAGGCCCAGCUGGUAGCAUUUAGGAGAUUUUACUCCGUAAUGUCCUCUGUUUCCAUCUCAUCAGCAUUGUCAACACUGGCCUGUGCCCUGUUUUUGGAAAUUUUCAGGAGGGUCUCAUCAGGAAUAAUCAAACUAAGGGAUCUCAAUGAGGACCCAGUAGAUUCUUUUCAAUUCUACAGCGUUGUAUUUCAGAUAUUUAGAAAGAUGGGUCCUACUUCUGAAGAUCAAUAAACAAAAUUCAAUCUUUUUUCAGUUGCAGAAUUGAUUAGUUGAACUAUUUUGUUUCUCAACUAAGAGUAGACCUUUUGUGUAGUGUAAAGAUUUUUCGUUUGUUUGUUGAUUAAGUGAGCAGAGAGGAUCAUUCCAGAAACAAAUCAUUGUUGUAUUUAUCUCAGCCUCAUCAGAUUCGCGAUUUUUGUCUAUUCCUUUUUUUUUUUUAAUGUAAUUAAGGCAAUCAAUUUGGAGGACAAUAAGAUUAGAAUGUUGGUGACGCAUUAAAGCUGGAAAUCUCCAUUAUCAAAUAUGAUUACUGAAGCUUUAUUGUUGUUCUCAUUAGUCAUUAUUCUUUCUUGUAUCUGGUAGUAUAAGAAACUAACCCAUCAAACGAAGCUCAAAAUUUGGAGGCCAAAGUUUAUCAAAAUCAAAAGAAGAGGUCUUUGUGCGUGCCAUUGACUUAUCUAUUGUAUACUCCUAAAUUUCCUUUUCCAUUUUUAGCUCAAUUUAUCUCAUCCUUGAUGUUAUUUUGCUUUGAUCAACUUCUUAUUAUACUGUUUGUUAUUCAAGUGUAGGGAUGCCAAUUUAUCCUUAGCCUUAAACUAAUGUGACAAAUGCUAAAGAAGCAACUGAGAAUGUUCAGCACAAUCUUUUCCUUCACUUUCUUAUCUAUUUAUACGUCAGUGCGUGGCUUGAGUAGCAAGCAUCUGUUGUCUUAGUUACCGCUGUCAUUUGAUCUAAUGGUUAUGUUAUGAUUCAACUGAUCUAACGGCUACUGCUUUACAGUAUCAUGAAAGGUCCAGCUCGCUACACACAUUGAUACUACUUGCUUCACUUAGGCAUUUUGUCAAACACCACUGCACUUUUAACAAACACUUGUCUCAACAUUAAACAAGCUCACUUUUUAAUGUUUUGGUAAAGGUUUAUCCUCCAUUCAAUUUAAUAUUUAUAAAACUAAUAAAAGACGAAAUUAAACAAAAUUAAUUUUUCUUAAUAAAAAGAAAUGGAAGAAUAAAUAUGUUCAUGAUACAGAUAACACCGGCAAAAAUUAACAUAAGUUUUUGGGGCAAAAAUAAGCAGGAUAAGAACGUAAACCCACAGGCAGCGGCAACACCUCCUAGUGCCGUUAGAAAUGGAGCUGCUGGUUCAGAUUUGCCGAUAUGUUUCAAGAUGGAACUGCCCAAGCUGGAGUAAAAUCCAACGGCACAGCUGAUCCCCGCCCCACGCAUGAGAAUUCUUGCAUUGGUGGACAAAGACGAGCUGCCUGAAAACAAAAUUGCCAACAAAGCAAGACACUCUUCGGUUGAGAGCAAGAGUAUUAUCUUAUUCAGUUUAUCAAAAUCGAAUGGCGAUUCUUCUCUCAUACUUUGAGCCUGAGACAGGGCUACUCUGCUCUCAACGUCUCUAUCUUCAGAUGGAGAAGCAGAAGCCCUUAAGCUCUGAUGAUUGGAAUCAGAGGAUGAUGCAUUCUCAUUCAAUGGGGUUGAGGCCAGCCCAAUUGAACUAGCUGAAUCAUGAUCAACUUGGAUUAUAGUGUGUUCCUGAGAGCUCUCACCGUCCAGCUGCUGGCUUCUAAAAGCAGUUGCUUCAUCAUAAUUCGACACACAAACAAAUUCAUCAAGAUGUGAUCCCCCACAUAUUGUUUUUCCCUGCUUGCUAACAUUCACUGGUCCUUCAGCUUUCAGAAUUACUAUUGGCAACUGUAACUGCUGAGAGCUCUCCCCAUCAAGGAACUUUUUCUUGCAUAUAGAGACUUUUCCUGUACCACUGUGAUUCUGUGAGCUCUCCCCCAAGUGCCAGCUUCUAAAUGCAGCUUCACCGUCAUAAUAAGGCCGCAUAGAUUGACAUUUAGGAUGAGAUCCUCCAUAAAUUGGCUUUAGCUUCUUUCCAACAGCAUCCGCUAACUUGAGAGAGCUGCCCCCAUCAGAUGACCUUAACUUGCAAUUAGCUAGUUCUUCUGUACCAUUUUGGACUUGAUUGCCAGCUUUUCCUCCAUUCUGCAAGCUCCUCUCGAAUUGCCAGCUUCUAAAACCAUGUAGUGCAGUAGAUGGAAAAUCAGGAAGAGAUUCUCCACAAAUUGGCUGAUUUCGUUUCCUUCUAACAGCAUCUGCAUAAGCGGCUUCAUUAUAAAACAACGCAGUAUCUGCAGUUUUACCGGCUGCCCACCACCUUCUUGACGCCCUAUGCCCACCUAAUACCCCAUAUUUUCGACUAUAAAGUUUGGGCCGUGAAUUGUAAGUUUCCCAUGUUGAGUGGCCCACAGAACCUGUCAGUGAUUGAUCACAUUCUGAGAAACUAACAAAUCAGAAUCUGAGAAACUAACAAAUUUAAGAGGAGAUCCUCCACAAAUUCAGAGUAAAAUAAAUCAGGUUCAGCACAUAGAGCUUAAGACACUAGCUAACAACAUAUGCAUGGGUUUUGUUCAUCUUACUUGGCAGAUCCCACGGAUCAUAUUUGUACAUGCCAAUUUGCUCGAUGGGCUCAAUAGCGAGAGGCCUUUGUUGAAUCUUCCUCCUUAAAUAAAACCCUAGAAGCUCCUCAUCAGUUGGAUAAAACCUAAACCCUGGUGGUAGCAUGAUUUCAUCCAGCUUAUCAUUUUCAUUUCUCUCAUCCAUUCUUUGUAGCAAAUCCUAGUAGCACGAGGGUCCUGCCUCUGAAUAAUCAGCCGCCUUUUUCUGGUGACUUUUGAAGAAGUGCUUGUUUAGCGUGGAACAAUGCGUUGGCUCAAUCAGAAGCUUGAGGCAAAGGAAAGCAACAACUACCAAGAAAGUAAAAGCUUAUAAAAUACCAGAAAUCCUAAAAUCACAAAGAUCAUCAUCAGACUAAUUUGUCAGGAUAUAACUUGUCAAAUUGAGUUAAAAUGAAAGCUUUUAGAUCAAAUCCAUUUUUUCAAAUAAGUCAAUAUGCAUGUACCACUAAAAAUGACAACCAUAAACUGGGAUAGGUAGUAUAAAACUCAGUAAAUAAACUAGUUAAUUACCUACUGAUCAUAAGCGUACAUAAGAAGCCGGACAAAUAGAUCUUGCUUGAGUAAAGUUCUUCACAGAAACAGAAAGUGUUGAUGAGAAAUCUGUAAUGGUGAAGUGCAUAUCAUUUUGAGUAACUAAGAAAGGAAGGACUAGGGUUGUUGGUGUGGCUUCAAAGUCAGAGAAAAUAUGGGAUUCUGAUUUAGUCUUUGGACAGCAGGGACUUGAAAAAAUUAUUAAACUAGUAAAAAUUAAUAAAUAAUAAUAAUGAGUAUUGAAAGUAAACUUCUAGGAAAUUGAAUGAAAACAAACCGAUCCCACAUUUUCAAGGUCAAUAAAACAAGAUUUAAGCAAAUUCCACUUCCACAGCCGUGCCGAGACAAAAGAAAAAAUAAACAAUGAUGAUAACAAUAAUAAAGAUUGGUUAGAUGUAACUUUCUGAGAAAUUGAAUCCAAAGCAACCUAAUCACAUAAUCAAGUUGAAUAAACAAAGAUUAAAGUUUCCGCGUUGGGCAGCUAUGGAAGACUUUUGAGUGAGAAUCAUCUUCAUUACUCUCUCUCUCUCUCUCUCUAUAACCAAAUACAAUCUAAAAGCUCAUAUCAGUUGACCAAAUACAGACAAAAACCAACAAAUUAACCCUAAUUUUCUUCUUUCUGCAAAACCAAAAUGAGGCUUGAGAUGAAAAAGAUGGAGUCUGAAGCCCAUGCAGCUGACCAAGAAUCCCUCAGCAAGUUUACAACUCUUAUUCUGGGAUUCUGCAUCUCCAUUGCUUCAGUUGUAUGGUUUCUUCCACAUGAAAACAUAGAUGGAGAUCUUGUUCCGGAUUUGAAAAUAUUUACUGAGCACCCGGUUUUGUUUCACGCCCUCGUAAUCACCCUGAUUUUGUCAUUCUCCGGAGCAUCUGGCGCGUUGUUGAUAAGAAACUUUUCCCGGCAUGCGACAGCUUGGAGAUGUUAUUUCGGAGUUUCCUUGGUUUCGGUGGCAUCAGCUUUAUUAAUACUCGCCUGUACGGUGUUUCUUGAAAUUGUCAGGCUGGAUUCCUCAGGUUUCAAGCUGUGGCAGUUGAACGAGAAAGGAGCAGAUUCUUUGUUUCUCCACAGCCAUAUGUUUCAGGUAUUCAGAAAAAUCUGUCCUGCUUCUCAGGAAAUCUCUGAAAUUACUUGAAAGCCAUGUUACUAUGUUAGAAACAGUAUUAAUGAAAUGGAGAAUUUUUCAUUUAGCAUCAUUUCACUUGAUUUUAUCUCACUUUUACAUGUACUCCAUACAUGUUUGGGUAUUUAAUUCCAGCAUUUCUCAAUAGAAAAACCUGAUGUCACAGGAACAUAAAUGAUUCAGGAAAUCAAUUGCAAGGACAACAGUCUUACAAUUCCUUGCACAGUUGUUAAUCCAGUUUUUGGCUCCAAAUUUGGGGGAAAAAAAUCAGACGAAUGGCAAAAUUUCCUCCCAAAUAAUUUGAAAAAGGACAAAAUGCCAGUUAUAAAUUCUUGAAUUAUCAUGCUGGAGUUAUGUGUAGUUGGAAACAAAAGAAAUAUAUAACGACAACCUGUUAUGAUCUAGUAAUGAUGACCCAGCAGAUGCCUUAUAGUUUAACUAAGAAUUGCUCAUAAAGAUCAUCUAUGCAAUCAACUAUGGACUUCAACACCUCAUUGACAAUCAUAAAUUGACUGCCCCAUGGCUCAUCAAACUUGAUAUCAAUAAACUGAACAAGUUAAUCAAAAUUAAUGUUUCUUAUAAAAAGAAAAGGAAGAAUAAAUAUGUUCAUAAUACCAAUAACACCAGCAAAAAAUAACAUCAAAUUUUCGGGCAAAAAUAAGCAGGAAACAGAUGUAAAUCCACAGGUAGUAGCAACAUCUCCUAGUGCCGUCAGAAAUCGAGCAGCCGGUUCAGCUUUACGGCUACAUUGUAAGCCAUGACUGCCCAGGCUGGAAUGAAACCCAACGGCACUGCAGAUCCCCGCCCCACGCAAGAGAAUUCUUGCAUUGGCGGACAAAGAAGUGCCCACACUAAACCAAAUUGCCAAUAAAGCUAGAUCCCCUUCGGUUGAGAUCAAGAGGAACAUCUUGGCCAGUUUAACUAUAUCGAAUGGUAGUUCUUUAUUCAUACCGUCUCUAUCUUCAGGCGGAGCAGAAGCUCUUAUGCUCUGAUGAUUAGAAGCGGAUGAUGUUUUUUCAAUCAAUGCUGGUGACAUGAGUUGUAUUGAACGAGCAAAGUUGUGAUCAACUUGGAUUGUAUGGACCUCACCGCCACGACCCUGAGCCCUCCACCCAAGGUGCCGCCUGAUUCCGAAAGCAGUUACCCCAACACCAAGCGGCACUCCAAGAAAUUCGUGAUCAGAUUCUUCGUAAAAGUUCUUUGAAUUGCCUCUGUCUAAGAAUAUUUUCAGAAUGGUUAAUCCAAAGUAUUUUCAACUGACAAGAAAAAGCAUAUCCAGUGGCUAACCCCUAACAAAACCAAUCUCAAAAACUUGUAAAAUAGACUCUAAAAACACGGAAUCCUUGAUGAGGAAGAGACUAAAAAACAAUUAACUGCAUCAAGUGCUUAUUAGUGAUUAAUUAAUUAGUCACUCAAGUCACCCAUUGAUCUCAAGAAAUGUUAACAGAAUUAGUCACAGCUACUAAAUUUGUGAUAGAAAUCUGAUAUACUUCUGCCUGGUUAGCCGUUAAUAUUGAAAGUCUUUUAUAUAGCUGCUGCUUCGUAUCAUCUUUAAUAUUCCUACUUUCUAAAUAUGGCCACUUGAAGUGAUCCUUCUAAUAAAAUAUGGGAUAUUGAUGACAAAGUUAAUUAUUAUAAUUCUCCCAUUGAAAUAAUUUAGUUUGAAAAUAAUAAAACCAAUCCUGCAAGCAUGAACUGUUAGAAUAGACAAGCUGCUCGAUGAAAUGCCUCUAUGAGCAUUCUCAGCAUGAACCUCAGCAUAAGCUCUCUGUAGAGUUUGCUCAGUAUAAACAUCAACUAAAGCAAAUCUCCGCCCAAGAUCUCAAUCCAAGAUCAUUACAAGUUGCAUUCAGGACUCGAAGAUUAAUCAAAGUAGAUAAAAAACAAUCUAAACAACUCAAUACAAUCAAGAACACAAACUGGAUCUAAAUGAAACACAGAGCACAAAUCAAAAGCUCAACAAGAACACAAUGUUACGUGGUUCGGUCUUCGAGUGACCUACGUCCACGGGUAAAACAUCAGAGCUGGCUUUAUUGAUUGAUUCAAAGAAGAAGAUUAUAAAAACUGAAGUGAAGAUUACAGAGCUCAAGAAAAAGCUUUCUUACUCACAAAUCUCUCACUGGAACUCUCUAGAAUGAUCCCAGAAUGAGCUUGCUAACUCCCCUUUAUACAACAGCUGCUUAACGAUCUGUAAACCCAGAAUGUACAGGAUUUGGCCACGUGUAAAAGUCGUUAUAACGACCUUGAGUUCACUUAAGCAUUCAAGUGACAAGUCACGUGACAAAUGAAAAACUGUCAUAGGCAAAACGACCGCUUCAGUUGCCGUUGCAAGUUUAAAUAAUCAUGCUUCAUUCACGUGAUUUCCAAGCAGCUCAAACAUUUACAAAACGCUGCCGUUUUCUUUCCACAAGUGUUUGAAUUCAGCUGCUCAACACUCUCUGUCCAGCAUGCAUCGGAAUGGAAACGGACUCAGCAGAAAGUGGCUACUAAUAAGGAUGAAUCAGCAUACACAUUAAUUCUCUAGAUAGCUCAUGGACCAGAAUAAGGAAUUACUUUAAGACAAAUUUACAUUGUUCUCUCCAACUGACAUUGAAUAGUAUAAUUAGAUUGUUGAGUACGGCAUAGCCAUUAGAUUAGAAUUACAGCUGCAAAUUUACUGGGUAUUCCUUGCCAAUGAAGAAUGCAUUUUGUAUCUAUUAGAAUGGUGAAUAUUAUACAAGUUAUGCUGGGUAAAAAUUCAGUCUUCAAACUUCCCUGCUUUGCGUUUACAUCUUUAAUUCUUUACUUAUUCAAUUUCUAUAGUCUCCUCCCCUAAUAUUCUGGAUUUUGGCCUUACUUUGGAAGUAGGAACUCGUAAGGCCAAAUAAUCAAAUAAUAAGUAUUUGGUAAUGCAGUUUCUAAAAGCUGAAAGGCAAACAGAAAAAUGAAAUAAAGAGAGGAACAAAAAUGACAAGAGAAGGAAGAUAUUUACCUAGGAGGUCUGGUGUUUCGCACUGCUUUUUGGGCAUACCAUUGGGCAUGAUAAUAAGGUCUUAUCUUCUUAUCUCUCUUUUGGCCAUACUUUCUCCAUCUAUAACCAUCAUCAAGUAUAUCAAUUUCGCUGCUUGUUUGAAAAUCAUAUCUGGGCUCUCUUGUUUUCUUCAAUAUUCCUACAAAGCUUUUGUUCUGAGUAGUGCCGUUGACAGUCUCAUUCAAACUAGCAGCUGGAGCUUCAUUCUCUGACAUAAAUUCCACGAAACCACUUGGCUUGUUACCUUGAAAUUGAGCGCAGGCUUGUAAAUGAGACAGUGCUGGUGAGACUAGCUGUAUUGGUUUUGAACUAGCAGAGUCGCGAUCAUCAUGACCUAGAUGAUCAACUUGGAUUAUAUGGACCAUCUGAUCGCCAUCGUCUUCAGAGCUCUCCCCAAAGUGCCAGCUUGUAAAAGCAGUUGCUUCAUCAUAAAGAUGAGAUCCUCCAAAAAAUUCCUUGAGCUUCUUGGGAGGAUCAUGUAGUACCGGAAACUGUGACUUUUGAGAGCUCCCCACUGCAAGUGACUUUUUCUUGCAAGGAGAGAGCUUUUCUUUGGAAAAUAGGCUAAUUGCAGGAUCAUUCACUAUCCUGUUUCCAAUUUUCUCUGCAGGAUGGAGGUCCUCAGUAAAAACCUUGCAUAAAUAGUCUCUAGUGUGGUGUAAAGGCAACAACAAAAAUAGGAUUUUGAUUUCUCGUGGGAGAUAAGUUGAAAGUAAAUUUCUAAGAAAUUUAAUGAAAACAACCUAAUCCCCGGUUCAAGAUCAACAAACAAAUUUUUGAAAGUGGCAUAAUGAAAAGGGUAUUCUGAUUUCCAUGGGAGAGAACAGAAGCAAAGACUAAAAUGAAAAAAUAAAGAUCAGAUUGAUGUAAUUUUCUGUGAAACUGAACCCAAAGCAAACCUAACCCCAUAUUAAAGUUCGUUUAAGAUUAAAGUUUCCCUCACUCUGUCUCUCUCUGUCCUAUCCAAUCGAGAAGCCAAAACAAGCUAACAUUUACAUACAAAACCAAUAUAUUCAACAUAAUUUUCUUUUUUUCUGCACAACCAAAAUGAAGCAUGAGAUCAAGAAGCUGGACUCCAAAGCCGCUCACCAAGAAUCCUGUAACAAGUUUCCAGCUUUUAUUUUGGGAUUCAGCUUUUUAAUUGCUUCAUGCGUUUGGUUUCUUCCUCGUGAAUACAUAGAUGAAAUCUUGUUCCUGCUUUGAGGAUAUUUACUGAACACCCAAAUUUGUUUCAUGCCCUAAUAAUCGCCGUCAUUUUUUCAUUCUCUGGAGCAUCUGGCGCUUUGUUGAUCAGAUACUUUCAGGGCAUGCAUCAGGUUCUUUCCUUUUCCGCCGCAACUACGUAUUUCAGGUAUUCCGAAAAUUCUGUCCUGAUAUUCCGGAAAUCUCUGAAAUUACUUGAAACUCAUUUUACCAUGUAAUAAACAGUAUUCAUGGAAAAUAUAGCCUCUAAGUUAUUGGAGUUUUCUGAUCUGAUUUCAUGUAAUUAAACACUACAUGGCAAUCUGAUCCACUUUUUAACAUAAAAGAUUCAGGCAAGUGAUUAAUGAGACAAAAUUCUAAAUAGUAUAUAAUGUCUGCGUUUCGGUUUUCUUAUAUAGUCCUUAAUACUUUUUUUUCACUAUUUCCACUCCAAAAUGGGGGAAGAUUUCAGAUGAACAGAAAAAUUUCCUGCCAAAUCUCAAAUAAUCUUAUUUAUUUUGAAUACAAGGAGCAUUAAAUAAUCUUGUACUAGUGUGAUUUGAGCAAGAUCAAAAUCCCCAGUACAAAAAGUUUUGAUUUAAUCUACUGGAGUCAUGUGGUAAUUAACUUGCAACAGAAGAAAUUUACAAGAACUGAGAAUUCUCAUGAAGAUUAUCUGUGUAAUCAACUAUGGACUUGCAGCUAAGCCCUAUAUAAAAAGAAAUGGAAGAACAAGUAUGUUCAUCACACAGGCAACACAAGCAAAAAUUAACUUGAGUUUAUCGGGCAAAAAUAAGCAAGAAACUGAAGUAAAUCCACAGGCGGCAGCGACACAUCCUACUGCCGUCAGAAAUGGAGCAGUCUGUUCAGCUUUGCCAAUAUAUUUUAAGACAGAGCUGCCCAAGCUGGAAUAAAAUCCCACAGCACUGCAGAUUCCCGCCCCGCGCAUGAGAAUUCUUGCAUUGGUAGACAGAGACGAGCCGCCCGAAAACAAAAUUGCCAACAAGGCGAGACACUCUUCAGUUGAGAGCAAGAGUAUAAUCUUGUUCAGUUUAUUGACAUCAAAUGGCAGUUUUUCGCUCAUACUUUGAGCCCGAGAGAGGGCUGCUCUAGUCUCAAUGUCUCUGUCUUCAGGCAAAGCAGAAGCCCUUACGCUCUGAUGAUCGGAAGCAGACGAUGAUGCAUUCUCAUUCAAUGAGCUUGAGGCCAGCUUAAUUGAACUAGCCGAAUCAUGAUCAACUUGGAUUAUCAUGUGUUCCUGAGAGCUCCCCUCACCCUGUCGGAUACUAAAAGAAGUCGCUGGCGGGGCACAAAGAAAUUCAAGAGGACACCCUCCACAAAUUGCCUGGACCUUCUUUCUAACGUCCGCCAGUCCUUUAGCUUUCAGGAGCACACUCUCCCCAUCAAGGCACUUUUUCUUGCAUAUAGAGAUCUUUCCUGUACCUCUGUGGUGCUGCGAGCUCUCUCCGAAGUGCCAGCUUGUAAAGACAGUUUGUCCGUCAUAAGGCCGCAUAGAUUGAAAUUCGGAAUGUGAUCCUGCAUAAAAUGGCUUUAUCUUCUUUCUGAAGGCAUCGGCUGGUUCAUUAAUGUCAGCAGGUGAAAAUAGUUCCCGCAACUGUAACUUGCGAGAGCUGUCCCCAACAAGGGACCUUUUCUCGCAAAUAGAGACUUGAUGGCCACCGCCAUACCACGAGCUCUUCUCUAGUAGCCAGCUUCUAAAAGCAGCUUCUCCACUAAUUGGCUGAUAACGCUUCUUUCUGACAGCAUCUGCUGGUACCUGGUUAAGGAGACGAGGAAAAUUAAGUCUGGCUCUCGGGCCGCGCAGUGCACAAGCGGCUUCAUCAUAAGCCAACGCAGCAUCCUCAGGUCUAUCAUAGGUUCCCAGCCAUAGUCGUACUCCCUGAGUUGAAUCCUUUAUCUCCGCUACCCACCUUCCCGAAGGCCUCUGCCUCACACCUACGAACCUCUUCUUAGGACGAAGUCUGAGCAAUGGAUUGUCAGUUUCACAUGCGGAGUGGUCCACAGAAGCCGCCAUUGAUUUAUCAGAAUCUGAUGCCGUGUGUGUGAGAGAUCAAAAGAAAAAUGAUAAAUACGUGUUAGGAUCCCACAUCUUGUGGGUUCGUUACAAUUUGCAUGUUAUUUUGAUUCUCGUCCUUUAAAUGGAUUAUGCCCAAUUGUUCUGGCCAAAUAUCAUAUCUUCUUCUAAGAACUUGAAUAAAAUCAACCUAAUUCAGUUAUCUAAAAUCAGUAAACAAACACAACACAAAGCAAUAAAUCACAACUUGUGCAAGUUCUAAAUCUGUGAAGUAGACAUGAAAGCACAAUAUAUACGGGUGUUCAAACAUUUAAACUCAUAAAGCCUAGAAAUUUGUUGUCGUUCCAACACUCACUGUUAUACUAAAUUAGUAACAAAGUUGUAUAUAAAUGAAACCUACCUCCUAUAUGGAACAUAUCUUGUGCAAAAUGUUUCUCAAAACAAAAUUCAAAUCUCAAAUCUUUUUCAAAUAUCAGAAAUCCUAACAUCAUAAGGAUGAAAAUUGAGGAAAAACAAAAUCUUUAAUGUCAAAUCCACUUUGUUACUAGUAAAUAAACAAGUCAAUUACUUACUGAUCAUCAGAAGCAUAACAAGCCGGACAGAUCUUGCUAGAGUAAAGUUCUUCACUGAAUCAAAGACUGUUGAUGAGAAACCAAAAAUAUUGAAGUGAGUUAGACAAGAAAAAUUAGUUUGACAAGAAAAAUGUCGCAGGAGAGAUGGCACAGAGCAGUCUCAAGAAAAUUAACAAACUAGCAUAUGACAACAAUAACCAUACAGAGUAUGUGGAGAGUAAAUUUCUGAAAUUGAAUGAAAACAAAAACCAACGCCAUAUCCAAGGUAAUGUACACACGUGGGACAGUAUAAAGUCGGCAUAAUCCUCUUCCACAGCAUGACAGCCGAGCCUAGACAGAAGAUAAAAAAUAAUAAUAAUAAUAACGAUAAUGAAGAUUGGUCAGAUGCAAUUUUCUGAGGAGUUGAAUCCAAAGCACACAUAACGUAGUUCAAUUAACAAACACUUAAAUUUCGUCUUCCUCUCUCCGUGUCUCUGUUUCUCUCUCCAAUCCAAUCUAGAAGCCAAGAUCAGUUCAGAUAUACAUACAAGAACCAAAAAAUUCACCACAAUUUUCUUUUUUUUCCUUUUUUCCUGCACAACUAAUAUGAUUCUUAAGAGUAAGAAGAUGGAUUCAGAAGCACAUCCAGCUGACCAAGAAUCCUUAAACAAGUUUCCAGAAUUUAUUUUGGGAUUCUGCAUCUCCAUUGCUUCAAUUGUAUGGUUUCUUCCAUACGAAAACAUAGAUGGAAAUCUUGUGCCGGAUUUGAAAAUAUUUGUUGGGCACCCAAAUUUGUUUCAUGCCCUAAUAACUGCCGUCAUUAUGUCAUUCUCCGGAGCAUCUGGCGCGUUGUUGAUCAGAAACUUUUCUGGGCAUGUAACAGCUUGGAGAUGUUAUUUCGGAAUUUCCAUGGUGUCUGUGGCAUCAACCUUAUUAAUACUGUCCUGUACGGUGUUUCUUGAAAUUUUCAGGAUGUUUUCUUCCGGUUUCAAGUUGUGGCAGCUGAAUGAGGAUGAAGCAGAUUCUUUCUUCGUACGCAGCUAUGUAUUUCAGGUAUUCAGAAAAAUCUGCCCUGCUUCUCAGGAAAUUUCUGAAGUUACUUGAAACCCUUGUUACUAUAUGUGUUAGAAACAGGAUUAAUUAAAUGAAAAAAAUUCUCAUUUCAUUUGAUUUUAUUUUACUUUUACACGUAUUGCAGAAUUUAUUAUCCCCUCCGAAGAUCUCCACAAAUAUUAUGUCAAGCAAAUAAUAAUAUAAAAAUUAAAUAGAGAAUAAUACUAAUCAUAUAACAGGAGGUUUAAAAUUCUAAAUCCAGAGAAAAAAAACCACGACUGUUGUUAAAAGAUAACUAGAAAAAAAAUUUAUUAUUUAGAAAAUUAUUACAACUCUCAAUAAUUUUCCUCUCAACCAAACUCCACUUACACCCAAUGAGAGCAUCUAAAAAGGGGAAAAAAAUCUUCUACCUAAGUUUACAUAUGUUCAUACUGCAGGAGCCAAAGGCUUCCACAAUAUUAAUUACUUUUUCAAAACUUAAUAAGAGAAUUUUUAUUUCUCUUCAUAUGCUUCAUACUUGGAUCUCUCAGUUUGGUUACAUAAUCCCGAGAAAUACUCUUUAACAAAGAAAACCGGUAAUACCAAUAUUGAGGAGCCAAAUGCUCUGACAGUAUAACUGCAUACUUAAGAAUAUUUCUCUUUAUUUUAAGAACACCGAAUGCUUCUCUUGCAUUUAUCAAAUGAAUGCUCUCAAUUGGGACAUAGAGCUUCGAAGAGAGCCCUCCUUUUAUAGCCAAACAAUGGCUUUAUAAAUCAAAAAUUUCGACUUCAACAUUCAGCGAAUGCGGCACCAAAACAAAACAGGAAGCAAUUUUAAAGCAACAAAUGCUUGAUCUUACUCUCUUACUUUUGUCAAAACAAGGAAACAUGGCGCCCACUCUCCCGAAUUUGCUUUGAGUGUGACUCCACUCUUGUUGACCUAUGGAAUGUUGGCAAUUUUUUUAAUCAAUUUUCAACCCCAUAUUUUUAGGAAAUUUUAAUUUCACCUAAAAUCUUGCAAGCAAAAAUAUCAAGUAAAUAAUAGGAAAAAAAACCACAGUUGCCAAAGAUGACGAGAGAAAGAUCUAUUAUGUAAAAAAUUAUUACAAUCAUUCUAGUAUUUUUCUCACGCCCAAAAUCUUAAUAAUACCCAAAAACUCAAUAACGCACAAUCUCUUAAUAGACUCACUGUUUUUCUCAUAGUAGAAAUUAUCUACUUACAGAGAACUGAUUUGUGUGUUAUAUAAGUAAAGUCAAUCUCCCUAUAUAUAGAAUAUAGUGAUUAUUUUAUAAGAAAAGGAUUCCUUUUUCUUAUAUUAGUUCUACUCGUCCUUGAAUAAAUCAAGUCUUAAAGGUGAAAUUACUUAUUCUUUAAAUAAAAAUCAUACUAAAGAAGAAAAUAUCUUAUGAAAUCAUUAUUGAAAAAUAGUAUUAUAUUUCUUAAUAACCUCUACCUUGGUGAGUUUUUCAAUUAAGCAGCAAAACAUGAUCUACUGUAUAUCCACACAACUACUUCGUCUCCACGUUUUUUACGCCACCAAAACCACACUCACAUAGGACUUAUGAGGAUCACUCUACCAUAAGUAAAAUUUUGUCCUUUAUCUAGAAGCCAUAACUCUUUAUACCGAGAAUUAUCAAAUUGCACCUUAUCUAUAGUAUACAUAUUCGACACAUGUCAUUCACUUUAUUGAAAAUACCUACUCUCAUGUUUGGUUUCAUUCGAAGUCCUCAACCAUCAACAUAAAAAUUUCACCACAACUCACAUAAAUGCCAAACCAUACCUUGUGUGCAAAUCUUAUGGAACUGCUACUAGUAACACAUCCUCUUCCAUGGAACACCAGAAAGGAUAAACUAAUCUCCCAUGGAGAAAAGAGACACACCACUAGUUGACAUUAUCUGCAUCUGCAUCUAUUGAUUUAUAGCUAUUUUCUAAACUUCCUUUAUUCUAACAAUCUUCUUUAAAGAGCCUUGAUUGUCUACACACCUCCAAGGAUUUCCCCAAGUAGGAAGAGGGUUUAUAUUGUCCUUGCUUUUCUUGUAUAAUUAGAUUGAAUUAAUAUAUUCUUGACUUGAACUUGUCACAAGCUAAAAUUGAUUCUUCCUUCAAACUUCAACCUUAAUCCUCACAGGAUUUGAAAAUUUGUUUGAAGACAUAAUUUCUUUGUAGAAUAACUUAGCUCUAAUAAUACUUAUUAAGAAAUUUUAAUCUCACUCAAGAUCUUGCAAGUAAAAAUAUCAAACAAAUAAUAAAUAAAAAAUAGGUGGAGAAUAAAACCAAUCACACAACACAAGAAUUUAUAGGGAAAACCCUUAUAUUGGAGAAAAUCCAUAGCCGCAAAGGACAUAUUAAUUCAAUCCUAUGAUGACCCAGCUGAUACCUAAUGGUAUAACUAAAAAAUGCACAUAAGUAUUAUGUAUCUAAUCAACUAUGGACUUAAUUUGUCAUGAUUCAACUCCACAUUGACCACUCUCUUAUGACAUAAUAAAUUCUUAGCGCUAUUUGAAAAUUUAGAACCAGGAAUGGCGGAGAGCAGCACAUAUAUCACCACUAGUUCUGACAUGAUCAUCAGUAGCUUCUAUUCGUCAAGUAAAUAUGUACAAUAAAUCAUCAUGCAAUAGCCAAGAUCUAGUUCAUCGGUAAGCAUACACAUCAGAUAAGCAAUAACAUGUGAAAUUCAUCAUCAGUUUUGCAAGUCCAGAUAACAACUUCCUAAAUAAUAACUUUUCACAAUAAGCAACUUCCAUAGAAAAUUUUCAGCAACAUGAAGAAACCAUUGGAGUUGAAGUACAACACAUAAGAGCGGAAGAAUGUCAAGGGCAUGCUACUGCUCAUGAACCAAGUCGUCUUUGUUUCACUAAAGUUAUGCCACGUCACAGAUGACAAGAGAAUGCUAGCAUUGGCUGAUAAGAUCUUGCUAUUGCUAAAAGCGUAUUGCUUGGAACAAUGUUAUUGGUUGCUCAAUUCCUUUAGCAGGAAAUUUGCUAGCACAGAUUACAAAGAAUUAUGGGCCCAAAUAAUGUCAACGUAGAAAUUCCUCAUGGAUAUAUUCUUAUGUAAUUUCUGAAUGAUCGAGAGCUUCCUUUGGACUUUACAACCCCGGAUCAUCUUCUUUGAAAGAUAUCUUUAUGUCACGGGAUGAGUGUUUUGCGUAGCAAACCCGUGCGGCACUUAGACAACUUUGUCGAAUGUUGCUAAGUAAACCUUGAGCUUCUCGACUAGCUAAGCCUAGAGGUUUUCGAAGAGUUAGGGGGAAGAGAGCAAUGGAGCCGAAUGAGGAAAAUUGUAUUACCCACAAGAAUGCUUACAAGAGAGCUUACAAGUGUUUGAGUUGCUUGCUCUAAGCUUGUUGUGUAAAUGCUAAAUGCCAUGCCCUAUUUAUAGGGGAGGCUUGCCAAGCUCUAAAGAUUCAAAGAAUUCUACCACUUCCUAGCUAUUUACAUGUGCUGGAAAUGUAUGGAGUAUUCUAAAGUAUUUACAAGCUCAAUGUGCUAGAGUUGCUUAGAACUUUCUGGAAUUGGGCCAAGCUAGCACUCUUGGCCUUGUUUUGGGCUCUUGGUGGGCAAAUUGAGCUACCAACUUGGGCGGUCCGCAAUAUCCUCCCCCACUUAAGCUCGUUGCGUCCUCGUCGCGCUCUCGUGCUUGAAAUUCUGGAUGUGCUCAGCGAAUUGCCACAAAUCAUCUUCUCAUUCCCAAGUGGCUUCACUCUCGGGGAGGUUUUUCCACUUCACUAAGUACUCGUUAUGUGGUGGCACGCCUCUCAUCGAAACCACACGAUCCGCAAGGAUGUAGUCUAUAUCUUUGUCGAACGAGGUGACAACGACGGUUGGCGUGCGCCUUGAUUCUCCACGACUUGGGUCUUCCACAUCUCCGUGGUAUGGCUUGAGAAGGCUCACAUGGAAGACCGGAUGGAUCUUGAGUCUUGGCGAAAGUUGGAGUUGAUAUGAGACGUUGCCCACACAUCGUACAACUUGAAAAGGUCCUUCGUAGCGCCUCACUAACCCCUUGUGGACUUUCUGCAACGUCUUGAAUUGUUGGGUUAGGAGUUUGAUCAUGAGUUGAUCACCUUCUUUGUACUCAACAUGUCGUCUCCUUGUAUCCGCCCACUUUUUCAUCUUCCUCGCGGCUUUGUCGAGGUAAGCUCGCGUGAUGUCAUCUUCCUCGUGCCAUUCGCGGGCGAGCUUGUGUGUCGCGGGGCUUUUUCCUCUAUAAGUUGAGGCUAUGGCGUUGGGGGUCAUGGGUUGGAAUCCCAUGAUGAUCUCGAACGGACUCUUGCCCGUAACUUCACUUCGCUGCAAGUUAUAAGAAAAUUGGGCGAUGUCGAGUAGUUUUGCCCAAUCCCGCUGAUGAGCGCUCACAUAAUGUCUCAAGUACAUCUCGAGGAGGCCAUUGAUGCGCUUUGUCUACCCAUCCUUUUGUGGGUGAAAGCUUGUCGAGAACUUGAGAUUAGUCCCCAACAUCUUAAAGAGUUUCGUCCAAAAACGCUCAUUGAACCGAGUGUCUCGGUCGCUCACAAUGCUCUUUGGAACUCCCCAAAACUUCACAAUGUGUUUGACGAAUAGGCGGGCUGCUUCGUCCGCUUUGCAAUCGGCUGGUGCGACAAUGAAAGUGGCGUACUUGUUGUAACGGUCAACAACGACCAUGAUGCUACCACCACCUUCGGACUUGGGCAACGAUGUGAUGAAGUCCAUGGAGACACUCUCCCAUGGCCUUGUUGCGAGUGGUAGCGGUUCCAAUAAUCCUGCUGGAAGUUGAUGAUCCACUUUGUCUUGUUGGCACACAAGACAAGUUCGCACAUAUGCCUCGAUGUCGUUCCUCAUGUGCGGCAAAAAAUACGAGACUUGGACUAGUGCGGUGGUACGCUCAAUUCCUGGGUGACUAGCCCACUUGGAGUUGUGGCACUCUUUGAUAACUUCCUUCCGUAAAUUUCCCCACCUUGGCACGAACAGCCGAUCUUCCUUGGUGAGGAGGAUGCAUUGCUCUUGCCAAAAGCGCCUUGUCUUCCCCUCGAGCACCUUCUCCAGCAAGUGCUUUACUAGUGGAUCUUGUUGGAGGCCUUCCUUGAUGCGGGAGAUAAGGUUGGACUUCGGUUGGCUCAUGCUAAGUGUUGUCAAUUCCGCCUUGUGGUUUAGAGCGUCCGCAACGACAUUGGCUUUCCCCAGUUUGUACUCGAGCCGAUAGUCGAAUUCCGUUAGAAAAUCUUGCCACCGUGCUUGCUUUGGACUCAACUUCUUUUGUGUUUGAAAGUAACUUGUCGCCAUAUUUUCCGUCAUAAUCAUGAAGUGUGAGCCAAGUAAGUAGUGUCGCCACACCCGCAAACAAUGUAUGAUUGCGGUAAUUUUCUUCUCUUGCACUGUGUAACAGCGUUCCGAAUCAUUCAGCUUCCGACUCUCGAACGCUAUGGAGCGGCCUUCUUGCAUAAGGACUCUACUUAUGGCGAAAUCCGAGGCAUCCAUUUGAACUUUGAAGGGCUUUGUGUGGUCCGGAAGAGUGAGGACCAAUUCCUCUGAAAUUGCCUUCUUUAACUCCUCAAAUGUGUGUUGGCUUUCUUCGGACCAAUGCCACGUUCUAUUUUUCUUGAGCAAAUCCGUUAAAAGUACCUCCUUCGCUGAGUAACCCUUGAUGAAGCGACGGUAGUAAUUCACCAGCCCAAGGAAUGAGCGGAGCUCGAGCACUUUCGUGGGAGGUUCCCAUUUGAGGAUGACCUUCACCUUGGCAUUCUCCAUCAUAAGCUUCCCGCCCGUAAUCUUGUGGCCAAGGAACUUCACUUCUUGUUGGGUAAACGAGCACUUCUCCAUCUUAAUGAAGAGCUCAUUGUCUCUCGAAGUACUUGGAGGAAUUGUCGCAAGUGUUGGGCAUGCCCCUCGAGCGUGGUGCUAUACACCACGAUGUCGUCCAAGUACAUGACCACAAAGCGGUCGAUGAAUGGUUGGAGCACCUUGUUCAUGAGUGUGCAAAAUGUCACGGGUGCAUUAGUAAGGCCUAAAGGCAUCACAAGGAAUUCGAAAGACCCGUACCUUGUUGUGCACGCUGUCUUCGGUUCGUCUUCCUUGGCGAUGCGCACUUGGUAGUACUCGGAGCGCAAGUCGAGUUUGGUGAAGUACCGCGCUUUGCCAAGCUGGUCAAACAAGUCCGCGAUCAAGGGAAUCAGAUAUUUGUUCUUGAUGGUGAUCUUGUUGAGCGCUCUAUAGUCGAUGCACAUCCGCAGCGAGCCAUCUUUCUUCUUUUAGAAGAGUACAGGUGCACCGAAUAGGGCCUUAGAGCGGCGAACAUAACUUGCGUCCAGCAAGUCUUUGAGUUGUCUCCGCAACUCCUUAAGUUCGGGUGGCGCCAUGCAGUAGGGCGCCAAGGCUGGUGGCUUCACGCCUUGUUUCAGUUCGAUCGCAUGAUCUACCUCUCAUCGAGGUGGGAGCUUCUUUGGAAGUUCAGGAGGCAUCACAUCCUUGAACUCAUUAAGGACGACUUGUAUUCGCGGAGGGACUUGGCUUGGCAAUUUUCUGCAAUCUCCUUCCUCGUUUAGUUAACGAAUGGAGACCAAGAAGCUUGGGUCAUUCUUGAAAGCCCUUUUGAAUUACAUAGCCGAGAGUGUCUUCUCCUCGGUCUUGCCACGCUUGGUGGGAAUCAUGCAUGCAUUACUCCCGUCGAGGAUGCUUAGGGAGUUUGUAGCAGGCAGCGGGAAGGCAUGGACUUGGUCGAAGAAUUCCAUGCCGAGGACCAUCUUGAAGUCGUCCAUGGGCACAAUAGAGAAAUCAAAUUUUCCGCUCCAUGUUCCGAGUAUUAUGUGCACGCCUUGUGCAAUACCUGUAAUUGGCUUGGCGAGCGAGUUCACCGCUUUCAUCGUGCCUUCUUCCUGAGUGGCCUUGAGGCCUAGGCGCUUGGCUUCAUCUACGGACACAAAGUUGUGCGUCACUCCCGUGUCUAGCAGUGCGCGAACGGACUGACCGUUUAUCUUUGCGCUUACAUACAUGAGCCCUUUCUUCGUGAAUGUGGGUUGUUGGCAGUUGAGUGCGCCAAGGGGUUGGAGAGAACCCAUGCUGAGUUGGGGUUUCUCCGCGGACAUUGUGGGGUUGUUCUUGAGUUGGGCUGCGAGAGCAUUGAGCGACUUCUUCUCCGGACAGUCGCAUACCCAAUGAGGACUGUUGCAUAUGAAGUAUGGGCUGCGUGGCUUUGGCGCCUCUUUCUUGCCCUCCGUUUUGCCUUGCCCGCUCUUGUUGCUAGGCGGCUUUUUCUACCCUCAAUCUUUGCGGUUGUUGCCCUUGUCCUUGUGACUCUCUCCCCUACAUUUACUUUGGCUAGACUUCUUAUCUUUGGAUUGGGUAGAGUAUUCGGUGAGCGACUCCGCAACGGCGAUGACAUUGUCAAGUGUUUGAACACCCCGCCUAUCGAGCUCGGUCUUGGCCCAAUCCUUGAGGCCAUCUUAGAAGUAGAAGAGCGAAUCCUUGUUGGACAUGUCGCUUAUCUCCAACAUAAGGGUAGUGAACUCGUUGAUGUAGUCCCGAAUGCUACCCGAUUGCUUGAGGUGACGUAGGCGCGCUCGCGCUUCUUUCUCUGCAUUGCUUGGGGCGAACUGCUUUCGGAGUUCUUGCUUUAAGUCGGCCCAAGUGUCGAUGGUGCAAAUGCCCUUGCCCAUCUCGUCAUGAUUGCGAUGCCACCAUAGUUGUGCAGCCCCUCGAAGAUAGGUGGGUGUAGUGCCCACUUUUGAUGCCUCGUCUCAAACACCCAUGGCAUCGAAAUAUUGAUCAAGCCCAAAGAGGAAAUUGUCCAAGAUGGUGGCAUUGCGUGUGCCAUCGUAGGUGUCGGGCUUUGGCACGUCAAUGCAUCGCACAUCACUCGUGCUUGCGGAAGUUGGACUAGUGGAGAGUGUGCACUUGUACGAUGCCCAAUCCGAGCGGACUUCAUCCACUUCCGCACGGACAGUGCGUAGUUCAUCCUGAACAAAGCUACAAAGUUUAAGCAACUCAUCAUGAAAGGAUCGAAACGCACAUCGAAGAGUGUUCGCUUGCUCUUAGAUGAGGGCUUUAGUCGCCACCGUGAACUCGGCGUAUUCUCCUUUGAGACCGUCCACUCUUUCCUCUAAUCCCUCGAGGCUAUCUUGAGCGGCGGACAAUGCGAUUUCGAGAGUGCUUACACGAGGCUCCAACGCAUCCACGGAUAUGAGGCCUUGGACUUGCCGCGCUUGCCUUGGGCGCGAUCUCCCUCACGACCGAGGCUUGGUUCCGGUGGAACAUCCAUACCAACAACACCCUCUUGCGAUGGAUUUGAAGGGUUGGCCAUUGCUCGUGAGUUAACUUGCGUUGGUGCAAACCUUAGCUCUGAUACCACUUGUCACGGGAUGAGUGUUUUGCGCAGCAAACCCGUGCGGCACUUAAACAACUUUGUCGAAUGUUGCUAAGUAAGCAUUGAGCUUCUCGACUAGCUAAGCCUAGAGGUUUUCGAAGAGUUAGGGGGGAGAGAGCAAUGGAGUCGAAUGAGGAAAAUUGUAUUACUCCCAAGAAUACUUACAAGAGAGCUUACAAGUGUUUGAGUUGCUUGCUCUAAGCUUGUUGUGUAAAUGCUAAAUGCCAUGCCCUAUUUAUAGGGGAGGCUUGCCAAGCUUGAGAGAUUCUAGAAAAUUCUACCACUUCCUAGCUAUUUACAUAUGCUGGAAAUGUGUAGAGUAUUCUAAAAUAUUUACAAGCUUAAUGUGCUAGAGUUGCCUAGAACUUUCUGGAAUUGGGCCAAGUUAACACUCUUGGCCUUGUUUUGGGCUCUUGGUGGGCAAAUUGAGCUACCAACUUGGGCGGUCUGCAACAUUUAGCUCUAAAAUGACUAUACCUAACACAAGGAAGAUUAUUAUUGUAGAAAUUUGAAUAGAGAUAACUCGGAGAUUGACUUGUUGUAUAACGAGUAAUGACCAAGGGCAAUGAUAUUAGUAGCAUGUUGAUUCAAAUUAGAUAAAUUUAAUAAAUGGAUCCUUCUCUAGAUAUCAACAUUGCGAUGAAGAGCAUAGUACGAAAUCAGAAACUUCUAUGAUGAAUGAUAAAGAAAUAUACUUUACUUUUUUUUCCUUUUUCAGUUUUUUGGUGUAAUUUACUUUUAUUUAAUUUAAAGAGUCCAUUUGAUAACCACCGGCGGCCCAAAUAGACGAAUCUGUUGGCCUUGGCUGAGUCCAAUAUCUUCGGUUCGACACGUGUAAAGACUCAUUUCACCUUUCCUUUUGGUCUCCCCUCUCUCCAAUCUUAUCUUGACCUAUCUUGACCUAUCUUGACCAUACAAGACCUGCAAAUGGAUCCGGAGAAGCAGAAGAUCGAAUCAGAAACUCGUACCCACGAUAAUUCUUACAGCAAAAUUUCUUCUUCAAGCCCAAAAAAAUCCCAGACCCAGUUGUUAAUUUUCAUUUUCUAUGCCUCCUUGGCAAUCGCUUUACUCAUCUUGUUUCUUCCUCGUCAAAACGUCAAUGGAUGUCCAGUGCCGGCUUUCCUAUUUGCAUCACACCCAUCUCUGUUUCACGCACUGGUGUUCUCCGUCAUGCUCUCCUUCGCCGCAGCAUCUAGCGGGUUGUUGAUCGGAAUCAAUUCCCAGAGGCAGCAUGCAACAGUUCAGAAAUGUUAUUUCGUAAUUUCGGUGGUUUCCCUAGCAUCAGCUUUGUCAAUCCUGGCGUGCGCCUCGUUCCUUGAAAUUUUCAAGCUGGUUUGUUCAGGGAUCAAACUGUGACUGCUCAGUGAGGACUGAGCUGACUCUGUCAUUGUUUACAGAUUUGGAAAGAUUGGCUCUGCUUAUUAACAACUCUCUGAAGGUACUUGAAGGCAAGUUGCUUUGCCAGAAAUGAUAGACAAAGUUUCUAACUUUUUGAGUUCCAAAAUUAACUAGCUGUGUUAGAUUUGUAAUAUUGUAUAAAUGCUGACCAGAGUUAAGUAGAUCGGUAGUAAUUCAUGUAUAUUGUAUGUUAGACCUUCUAUCAAAUGUAUAUGGUGCUUGAAACAAUCUUUGGUCUUGUUGGAACUUUUGAGUCAGGUGGUUAUCUAAUUAACGUAGUUAGUUCUGCACCUCACUUGAAUCUAUUUUAUUGUUUCCUCUCAUCCAUGCAUGUUCUGGGUUUAAUACCAUUGCUAAGUUUGUUCUGCAGUCUGCACAGGAUACAUGUCAAAUCCCUUUUUUUCAUUAGCUCCAAGGGGAAUCUUCAUCAGAGCUAGUCCCUUAGAUUUCAUGGUAGGAGAUGAAGCUCCAUGGCUACGGAGAAAUUUGUAGAUCAAUUGCCCUAGAUAGAAAACUAUAUAUAGGGUCUCCACAAGUCUUUAUACUCUAUGAUUUCAUUCACCCCAGGCCAUGAGAUGUUGAUGAGUCUGCAAGUUUUGGAAUAAUACCUGACAUGAUGGUUUUUGAAAGCCUAUAUCUAAGCCUUCCACAAUUAGGUUUAAGGCUUUACUUUAACCAUCCCCUUAGGACCAAGCCAGGGUUUCCUUUUCAUCCUCUUAUGACUUAAAGACUUUGUACUGAUUUUGUGAUGUAAGUUCUCAGCAUAGUAUGAGAUUGAGACAGAGGCCCAAGGCCAUGGAGAAAGAUCAUAGAUCAGUCGCUCUACAUAGACUACAUAUAUAGAGGGUCUCUACAAUUGUAUAUAUGUUCUUCGAUUUUGUUCCACCCACCCUCAAUAUCACCACUGCCAUUGUCUGCAAGCUCUGGACUCGUGUUGCCCAAUCCAUCUUCUUUUGAAAUCCUGUUCUAUGGCUUCUACCACUAGGCUUUAGGCUUUACUUUCCUCUCUGCCAUUCUGUUGCAGAUCUUGACUUAAAAAUAAUGUUGUUACUGAACAUUUGAAUGAAGUGGUUAUAUAAUUAGACAAUUAGUUCUGCAUGUUACUUGAAGCUAUUCUACUUAUUCGGGUAUGAAUGUCUGGGUUUUCAAUUUGAUUCCAACAUUUCUUUCAAGAUAUCUGAUGUAUAUCCUGUGUCCUAUAACUUGAGAGACAUGAAAGAUUCAGGCAUUGAAUAUGAAGGGCAGUAUGCUUUAGAAUGUUGGUGAUUUAUAGACCAAGCUAAAAUUCCAUCUGAUAAUAUGUUUUACAGCUUUAUUGUUGGUCUCAAUUAUUUGCUCUUCUUCAUAGAUUUAUGAUACAAUGAUCGUAAGAAGCUAAGUAUUUUGAACAAGAGACUAUUUCUGUUAUGUAAGGGAGCAAAAUGGGUAUAAUACAAGAAGUUCUGUCCAAGCGGAUGAGAGAUUUAAGAUAAGUGGCAAAAUUUCCUCUAGAAUGUCAAACUCCUCGCUGCAUCAACUUUUCACUUCACUAGUAUAUCCUGAUUACAAUGAGCAGAAAACAAUCUUUGCGAGUUUUUGUGUGGUUAGGAAACCUGUAAUGUAACAUGAUGAUUCAGUUGUUAAUGCUUUCGCAGAACAUUGACUACCACGAAUUGACAACAAUGUCGCAAAAAGACAAUGAUUGUGAAACAAUGCGAUGAGGUUACUCAAGGCUUACUCUCUGUGAUACAGCAUAUUUUGCACACAGUUUACUGUAGGUCACUUCCUCUUCCAGUGGUUGAGUUUUUGAGAAAUGCAAGGCCUGUGACCCUGAUUCACCAAUGAGUACUUGAGUGGAGUUGUCGAGAUAUAUCUGAUGAAGAGUUCAUGGUGCAACUUCGUAUAGGAAAGUACGCAACCUUAUCAAUGAACUCAAAUCGGUUAGUAGGAUUCACUAAUGCAGGGCGGGCAUUGGACUAAAGCUUUUGCUCAAGUGGCUGAUACUUCAUUGAGCUAAUGACAGGAAAGAGGCUAUGUUGUAUAAGCAUGCCCAAAUUGCUUGAUGGGAAGUGUUGAUGAAUUUGGUUACUCGGACACAGAACGUGAUGCCAAGCAAAUGCUGGUGACUUAGCAGAGCCAGAUCGUGUUCAUCAUUUUACUUACACACUGUUGUGAUCGUAAGAAGGCAUAUCACAAAAUCUCAUAAACUUGAGACUUGAUGGCAUAUUUUUCAAAACAAUUUAUUGCAUACUCGAAGGAAUUAGAUGGAUAAAUUUAGUAGAUGAAAGUAAUUUUAAAAUUUUAAAAAUACAAAUCACUCCAAAUUGGGGAAAGGUACCUUGGUAUACAGCAAAAUUUCGUUUUAAAACUCAAAACUCAAUAGCAUCAACUUUCCUCUUCAACUAUCAUCCUGAUUCCUGAUUACAAAGUAGAAAUAAAAAUCUUCUACUGCAUCCAUAUCUUAAAUUCUUGGUAGCAAAUGCUGAAGCUGUGGCUGGCUACAACCAAAAAUUCACUACCAACAUUCUAUCAUACUGAACGAUCCACCCCAUGAUUACUCAGGGGGGCACCAUGAUGAAGUAUUAGAAUAUGUCAGUUCUCCAACUUAUGUAUGGACUUUUUUUUUUUUCUUGGGAUUAAGUUCUUAGUUCGUCAAGAAGAAUCUGAUUAUAUUAGAAACAUAAUUAUUAUUGAUAAUUGAUGGAUUUGGCUAAAAUGUUCCGGGAAGAGACAAGAUAUGCUUUUUGGAUUAAAAAUAUAAUAUAUUAUAAAUUUAAUUUAUGUAAUGAUGAGCAUCAGGCCUCCUAAUGUCUUGAAAUCCUGGUGUCUCUCUUGCCUUUCUUCUCUCCGCCCUAGAGUUAUUUCUAAUUUUGUCUUUCCUUUAAGCUUUCAUUUUUUUCAGCAUAAACCCAAUUGAAUACGUUAAUAUUAGCAACUUACUAGGUCAUUCGCAUAAACGCUUCGAAAGAAAUUCAGCAAUUUAGAGAAGCAAUUGGAGUUCAAGAAUGUCUCAUUAAAGUGAAGGUUAAUAUGCAGAAUUCGCUGCCGUUGCUAUUGAAGGUCACUGUUCAUUAAGCACCAUUUAACGCAAUACAUACAUCAAAUUUCGUUACGCUGACCCGAGGGGUUUCUAGCAGGGCCAAGCACAGCGCUGUCCCCGUGCCCCUUCUUUUUGGGCCAUGCCGGAUCUUAACUUCUGCUUCUUGUGACGGGGACCCAGAUGGGCCGCACGACCUGUUUGACACGUUUAUUGCAUUCUUAUUACCUUUCCCAAGCUAAUCUAGAAGACCAGCAAAGUUCGCCAUACCCAUAAUUUGACCUUUCUCCAGAGCUAAAAUGUGUAAGAAGAUGGAGUGAGGAACUCAUACGAAUGAUUCUUAUUGCAAAAUUCUCCACCUUUUUGGGUUCCAAAAAUAAAUUAACUAGUUGUGUUAGAUUAGUAAUAUUGUAUUGUUCUUUUUUUCCGCUGAUGUAGUGACCAGAGUCAAGUAGAUAUGGAUAAUAAUUCAUGUAUAUUGUAUCUUAGACCUUUAAGUACUUGGCUUUGGAUUUGGAAUCCAAUUUUUGUGGUACUUUUAAGCAAUUUUUGGUCCUGCCUCUACUCUUGAGUCAGGUGGUUGAUUUUCAAAAUGCAGGUUUCUUCAGGCUGGGGCAACUGAAUGAACACAAAAGCCGAUCCCUUCUUUGUCUGGAGACAAGUAUUUAUCUAGAAAUAUCUGCCUUCCUGCUUCUGAAUAACAUUCUGAAGUUAGUGAAAGCCAUUUUGCAGAUGCAAAACAGUAAUAAACAAAACUCCUUUUUGAGAUCCAGAAGAAUUAGCUGUACUAUCUCCUUUCUUUGUUAAGAUGGUUGCAUUACCGCGCAGUUAAGACUUGAUCCUUACGGUUGAAAAUUUAAACCUUCCAGUGAAGCGGGUAUCCAAAUACUUACACAUCGUUUGAAUGCGUUCUACUUUCAUGUAACACAUGCAUAUGUAUGUGGCAUCGUAGAAACUUUAUAAUGCACGUUGAGAAACAUAAAAGAUAGAGCCAUUCACGUAAUAAAUUUGAAGGGCGGUAUGCAGUAUGCAUAUGCUGUUGCCGAUAGAUCAAGCUGGAAGUCCAUAUGAUACUGCCCUUGUUUUUCAUUGCACCUGAGAGGCGUGCGGCUAAGCAGUUUAAACAAAGUGAAAACAUUCUCUCUAUUUACUAUUUACAGUACCCUGAUCACUACGUGCAGAAUAUAAUCUACUUAAAACGUCAACCCCUUUGUAACAUAGCGGUUAGUUUCACUCGAAUAAUUCAAACUUCCACGAUGCUUGCAAUUUUCCUUUCUUCUUGUUUUGGGGUGGGCCGGGGGUUUUCGGGGGAUAACUAAAAAGGUUUUACGGCAGGCCGCACAAAUGCCCAAAUCUGUUGGGCUGUGUUGGUCUAAUAACUAGGCCCUACUUGAAACAUGGGCCACAUGCCCCGUCGGACACGUCUAAAGACUCAUAUGACCUUUCCUCUUUGUAUUCUCCUCCCUCCCCAAUCUAAUCCCGAAUUCGACAUGCGUAUGCAAGACCUCAAAUGAAUCUUGAGAAAGAGACGAUUGACUCAGAAACUCAUGAUGUUUCUUCAAGCCAAGAAAAACUCGAAACCCGAUUGUUAAUCUUCAUAUUGUAUUCAUCCUUCGCAAUCGCUUUACUCAUUUUGUUUCUCCCUCAUCAAAACUUCAAUGGAAGUCCCGUGCCGACUUUCCUGUUUGCAGCACACCCCUCUCUGUUUCACGCCCUGGUUUUCGCCGUCAUGCUCUCCUUCGCCGCAGCAUCUAGCGGGUUGUUGAUCGGAAUCAAUUCCCGGCGGCAGUAUGCAACAGUUCAGAGAUAUUACCUCGUAAUUUCGGUGGUUUCCCUGGCAUCGGCUUUAUCAAUCCUGGCCUGUGCCUCGUUUCUUGAAAUUUUCAAGCUGGUUUGUUCGGGGGUCAAACUACGGCAGCUGAAUGAGGACGAAGUAGAUUCUGUCCUAGUUUUCAGAUUCAGAAAGAUCGGCUCUGUUUAUGAACUAGUUAAUUGAAGGUAAGUUGCUUCGCCAGCAAACAAUAAGCAAAGUUGCAUCUUUUUUAUUUCCAAAUUUAUCUAGCUGUGUUAGAUUUGUAAUAUUUAAAUAUUGUUCUUUUUCUGCUGAUUUAAUUAGAUGGAUAACAAAUUCAUGUAUAUUGCAUCUUAGACCUUUGAAUACUAAGUUGGCCUUGGAUUUAUAAUCGAAUAUGUAUAUGGUACUUCAAACAAUGCAGGUCUUGUUGGAACUUUUGAGACAGAGGGUUAUCUAAUUAUAUAAUUAGUUCUUCGUUUCAGUUGAAUCUAUUUUACUUCAUCUAAUCCAUCCAUAUUUUUGGUUCUGAUAUCAUUGAGUACACCUUUCCUCCCUUUUCAGAAUUAAACCAAGGGGAAUCUCCAUAGGAAGUUAGAAACUAGUCCGCAGAAAUCAUUGUAGGAGAACUAUGUGCUAUGUAGACCGAUAGUCUUAGACAGACAUCUGCGAUGAGAGGGUCCUCUACAAGUUAAUAUAUGUUCUUUGAUUCCCCUGCCCUUCCCCUGGGAAAAAAAAAAAAAAAAUCACAACUGAAGUGUCUGCAAGUUUUGGAGUAGUAAUAGCCACUGAUAGUUUUGAAAGCUAUUUCAAUACUUUAGACAAUUAGGAGUUUAGGCUUUGCUCUAACCUUCCACUCACGACCAAGCAAGGGCUUUUUUUUUCAUUUCUGCCCUCCUUUGACAGACUCUGUUCUGGAAAAAAUCAAUGAGGAUAAUGUCUUUCAAGAUCUAAUCCCACUAAAGUAUCCUUUUGCAUAUCAUAAAAGAUUCAAGCAAUCAAUUUGAAGGGCAAUGUGCAGCAAUCCAGUUCGUAAUAAAUCCCGGCACAUGCCUUGUUUACGGAGAUUAUGUUCAGGCAGCUGGUUUAUUCAGGUUUCUAGCUGUUGCGGCUAAAUGAGGGCAGGGCUGAUUCAUUCUUCAUCUGCAGAUAUGUAGGUAUUUUGAAAGACCUGUCGUCCUGCUUUUGAAGAGCUCUCUUUAAGUUAGUUGAAGCCAUGUUGCUUGAUGCUAAUAUGUUUAACAAGAUUCCAUCUUUGUAAGCUCCAGAAUUAAUUAGCUAGACCAUCUUAUUUCUCUAUGGAAAAUUUAAUAAUUGCAGUGUAUGAAGAGAUUGUUAUCUCAAAAUUACCUGAUUCAAGUUAAAUGUGAGGGGCAUGUUAGACAUUAUUCUUGAACAGUUUAAACCUUGGGGUGAAGUUUUGCACCUGAUUUGAAUUGUUCUACUUUUUAAUGUAUUCACUUCAAUUGAGGUCUGAUUCCAAUAUUUCUUGCAGGAAUGCAUUGUCUUCCAAGAUAUGUGAUUUAUGUAAUACAUGUUAUUUUAGGUUUUGAUUCCAAUACCUAAGAGUUUCAUGGUAUGUAAUUUGUGAUACUGCUAGAUCCUCUAAACUUUGUACUUGAGAAACAUGAAAGAUUCAGGCAUUGAAUUUGAAGGGUAGUAUGUUCAGCUCGUGAUAGAUUAAGUUACUGGUCUUGUUAUAUCCUAAGCAUCUGAGAACCUAAUCUUUGUAAUCAAAGAUACUGUUUUCUCGGUGAGAUUAACAAUAAUCCUUUUCAUACAUUUUCAAAUUGUUUCUUGUAUAUCGUAAGGGGGUUAAAAGGGGUAAAAUUGUUAUUUGACAACACAAAUCAGACAGGUUUCUCCAUGCUGGCAGCAUAUGUAUUUGUCAGAAAUACAUAAUUUUCACCUCGUAGAAGAGAGAUUUCAGUUAAGGAGCAAAUGCCCUUCAAAAUCUCAACCCUGUACGGUACUCACAAUGAGCAGAAAAACAAUCCCGAAUUCCAAAAAUGAAUUUGUUGUUAUCAAUCAAAAGCUAGAGUUGUCAUACUCUGUUUUGGUCCUCGUUAUCAGAAGCAGGACACGUUUCCAUUUCUGAUGAGAAUAUGAAGAUGAAUUUUUUGUUCCCCAGGCUUUGAAUUGUCACACUCCCCAACUGGUUCCCAAAUUCGUAGGAAAGCAAUACGAAAUGCCUCUUCGUUGAUUCGCGUGGGGGAAAGAGCCUUCCCAAGAAAACUUUCGCUGUCAAAAAAUCUUUAAACUACAACGAUGGCUGCCUUGGUUGGUUUCAUCCUUGAACAAGAAAACACACGCUUAUAUCCUAGGUUUUGAUUCCAAUACUUUUAGAAUUUCAUGAUAUGUAAAUUGUGAUGCCGUAUCCUUGAAACUUUGUACUUGAGAAAUACGAAAGAUUCAGGCAUUGAAUUUGGAGGAAAUUGAAGGGUCGUAUCUGUAGAAUGUUGGUGAUAGAUUAAGUUAUUGGUCAUGUUAUAUCCUAUGCAUCUAAGAAACUAAUUUAUGUAAUCAUAAGAAGCUAAGUAGUUUGAGCAAGCGAUUGUUUUCUCUGUGAGACUCGCAAUAAUAUUUUAAUGCAUUUUCAAAUCAUUUCUUGCAUAUCUUGAGGGGAACAAAAGGGUAAAAAUUCUUUUUGGACAAGAUAAAUCAGGCGGGUUUCUCCAUGCACGUAGCAUAUGUUUUUGUCAGAAUACGCGAUCUCCACUUCAAAAUAGAAGAGAGAUUUCAGAUCAGGAGCAAAAUGCCCUUCAAAAUCUCAACUCUGUAUUUGCAAUGUGCAGAAAGCAAAAGGUGCAGUUAUCAUAAUCAUGUUUGCUCCUCCUCAUUAUCAAAUUCUAGACACGUCUAUGCUUCAGUUCUGAUGACUGAUGAGAAAGUGAAGAUGAAUUAAUUGUUCCCACGCUUACAAUUUUGAUACUUCCCAACCAGUUUCCAAAUUAACAGAGAAGUGAUACGGAAUGACAUACAUGUCAUUGGCCAUACAAGUUACACAGCUUCUUAUGUGAAUAAAUGGAAAUCCAUACAGAUUAAACUAACUCCUUCAAUGCAAAAGGUGAUGCAACAAUGGGCAGUGUCCAAAGAGCAGCUGUAAGCCAUAUCAUGGCUUUCUCAGGAAAUCGUGUGCCCAAGAUCGACAAAAAACCGCAAAUUGUAAAAACACAUCCCAUCACUGUCAUCACUCCAGAAGUUUUGCGCUUUCUCUGAAACCAAUAAGCACCAAAGCUCAAUAGCAAUCCAGCAACACCAAAAAUCCCCACAAAUAGCAAGAGAAUUUUCGCAUUGGGUGUCAAAGAGGUCCCAGCAUACCAAAUUUGUAACGGAGCGAUACACACCCCACAACUGAGGGGGAGGCAUAUCUGGGCCACACUUGAAGGAUUGAGCUGUCUUUCAGCUGGAGGGGCUACUCCGCGCUCCAGAUCAGAUAAUGAUCUGUCUGGCGGUGGCUGCUCAUCACCGUCUCUGUUCUGAAGCAGAGCAGAGGCCCCUACACUCUGAUCUGAAGCAGAUGGUGUAUUAUUCAAUGCUGGUGAGGCCAGGUCGGAUGAGCCUACCUCCAUAUCAGAUAAUGAUCUGUCUGGCGGUGGCUGCUCAUCACCGUUUCUGUUCUGAGGCAGAGCAGAGGCCCCUACACUCUGAUCUGAAGCAGAUGGUGUAUUAUUCAAUGCUGGUGAGGCCAGGUCGGAUGAGCCUACCGUGGCAAAAGACUCAUGGCCUAGAUAACAACCCUCAAUUAUAUGGUCCUCGCCACCACCACCAGGAGAGCUCUGCUCUCCACUAGAUGUCUGACUUCUAAAGGCAGUUGAUCGAACACCUAGCCCAUAUUUAUCCAGAAGUAAUUCCAAUUUCUUAGGUUUCUUGAUCAACUUACUUGCCAAACCAUAAAGAACCUGUGGAGAAUCGGUUUUGAGUUUUGAAGUGAUUGUCUCUUGGUUGAAACCUCGUAUAGGUAAAGAACCCCACCGCUGCACAACUUUAUGAACGAAAUUGCACAUAAAUUCUGCCAUUGAUGGAUAGAAUCAGAUGACAUGAAACAUAAGAAAUUUACAGAAACUCACUGAAAACAACACGUACUCACAAGACACAAAUAGAUAAAUCAAAUCAAAUCAAAAUUCCGCCAUAGGAACUCAAGACCCAGUGAGAUAAAAUAAAAUUUCUAAGGAAUUGCAGGACCAAUGAAAUUUACUGAACAAUAAUUCUACUUCAUUCUCAUUUUCAAAAGUUGGUUGUAUCAUCUUCAUUUUCAAAAAAUAUAAAGUUUUUUUAAUUUUGUAAAUAAUUUUCUUUAUAAUAAUGUUGCAUGCUCCAGGUAUUAAUCCAAAAUAUCUUCAAACGGGAUACUGUUUCAUACCUGAUUCUGAGAUAUCCAGCGUGUGAUCUGGCAAAUAGGAAUACAUCAUGUCGUUGAUGGUCCUUGAAAUUUUCACAAAAAAUCUAAUCUUCAGAUGGUGGAGGAUCGAAAUACCUAAUUUUCCGUGUAUGUAUCUAUGUAUGUGUGUGUGUAUGUAAUUUAAAAAAAAAAAUGAAAAAUAGCAGAAUAAUCAAAGAGGUACUUACUUGAAGGUGGAUGGAUUUGAAGGCCACUCAGGUACAUACUUAUCAAGAGGAUAGCAGUGAAGUCUGAGGUAAUCUCUCCAAUUGUGAACUUUCUCCUUGUUGACAUUAAAACUCGUUGACAAUCUCAUUGUCUUUGAUGGAUCAUCUGAGUGGAGCUUCAGCUUCUCCUCAACUGGCCGGUUAAAAAACUCUUUCACCACUUCUAAGACUCUUUCCACUGCUUCUAAAGGCAAUUUGUGAUUUAUCACCUGUAUAUGCAACCAAUAUAUGACUGAUUAACUGGUUUGUACAUCUAUAUAACAAACUCAAAUGAUUUAGGGCAAGGAAAGUUUGAACACAAACCUGGAAAAAUCCAUAAUUCUUGCAAGCAUAAGCAACUUGUUGCACAAUUAAGCUUCUAUCAUCACAAGCCAAAUCAAUAACAGGAACGUUUUCGCAUUCAGAAACUUCAGACAGAUUUGGUCUCUCCGAUUCUGGCCUUACGUAGCUCUCCGGCAAGUUAGUGUACCGGAUUCCCGAGGACAGAACUUUGGUAUCCAUAAUUUGAUUUUAUUAAUAAUCUAUGUAUGCAUAUAAAUAUAUAAUAUAGUGAUGAUAAAUUAAAGAGAGCCCGUCUGCCUGCUCACAUAUCAUAUACGCAAGAGGCCAAUUUUAAGACAUUGAUGCCAAACCUAGGUCCAAUCCAAUAAGGUUUCGACAUUUGUUGCACCCGCAUCGGCAAUAAACGUUGCUCUUUGAUGAACUCCUUAGUAUAUAGUACCUUAAAUAAAUAUAUAUAAUAAUUUUUUAACGAAAACAUUACCAUUUUAAUAAAGUGAAAAGAUCAUUAAAAUAAAAAAAUAUUUUAAUAUAUUAACAUAUAAAAAGUAAUUUUUAAUAUACUGAAAUUUUUGUAUUUUUAUAUAUUAGUGGUCUCAUAAAGUACACACAUACAAUAUAUACUUUCAGUUAGAAAUUCUUAAUCAUAUUAAAGUUAUAUAAGUUAAAAUAUAUAUAUAUAUAGACCUCUAUUUACUAAGGAUUAAAUACACUAAAUUAAAAUCUAUAUUUUUUGUAUUUAACUUAUUUUUUACUUUAAAAUAAUUAGGAAUUCCUUAUUAUUAUGUGUGUGGAUUUAAUCUAUUGUGUGUCAUCACGCAAGUUUGGUACCCAAAGGUCCCCAAUGAUGGAUCGUCACACGCCAAAUGUACAUGUUACAAACUCAAGUUAAGGUGUUCAUUGACUAUUGACGAUGAACCUAGGUACGGGUCAUUUAAGUCGGUGAAUUGGGGUUACAUUUGUUUUAAUUAAUGAUAAAAUAUACACACACACAC